UAUAUAUCUAUAUUUGUAAAUCUAAUCUAAUUUUACUCUCUUUCAUCAUAAAAAUUUAAAAUAUAUAAUUUUUUACAUAUAAUUUUUAAAUAGUAUAGAUUAUAUGUAUUAAACAUAAAUUUUAAUUUUAUAAUAUUGACCAUUUAGAUAUAAAUUGUACAAUAAAUAAUAAAAAAGAAAUUGAUAGAGUUUAAACGAAAAUCAUGCGAAGUAUAUUAACUAAAUUUGUAGGACUAAAUCUAAAGUACCAAUAGCUAUAUAACUUUUUAUUUACUCAAAUUUAAUAUGUAGAAAGAUUGAAUAGUAAAAACGAAAUUUGGAAAAAUUGGUUAGCUAUACUACAUUUCAUAGAAUAUAAUACGUACUCUAUAAAGGAAAAAAAAAUAAUAAUAGAUAAGCAACAAUCUUGAAAGUUUAAUAUAAUAUUUGUUUAAAUAAAAAGUUAUAUAGCUAUUGGUACUUUAGAUUUAGUAUCAUAAAAAUAUUUAAAGAUUUUUUUUUAAUCAACUAUAUUUAAAAAUUUUAGAUAAAGAUGAAUAUAAUAUUUAAUAUUAAUAUAUGUUAGAUAUUGAGACAAAUUGCAACAAAAGUAUAUAAAGAUAUACUCCAUAAAAAAUAUAAUCUAUUUUUAGUUGGGACUAUAGAAAAUAUAUAUAUAGUAAUUAUUAUACAUUAUAUAUACAGUAAUUAUAGGGCGUGUUUGGUACGUUUUUUUUUCACCCUGAAAUUGGAAUCGGAAUGGGCGAAUCCGUAACGAUCAAUUUUACAUUCAAAAAUUUUUAGAAUAUUCAAAAUAUGAUUGAUCGACUUUUAAUUUUAGUAAUUAAAUAUUUUAAAAUUUAUUAGAUAGUUUAACAUAUCGUAUGAAGUUUGGUAUUCAUUUGAAAUAGAAUUAAAGUAUAAAAAAAUAAUUCCACUUUUGGUUCCAAACUAUAAGUUACUGUAGCAACUGUUGUUUCUUUUUAAGUUUUUUUUUUAUAUUUUUUUUUAGCUACGUGGCACCAGACCUCCUUGCCCUUAUCCCCAUCGUCGCCUUGCCCUUAUCCCCGUCACCGCCAUACCUCAUCUUCAACAAUUGCGGCGCCGACGUAAAUGCGUUCACGUGAUGGUUGCCGAUUGCCGUCGCCGUGUACAAGUCCAGCCUUCCCUGCCCGUCCUUUCACUGUCGCGUUGAUUUGUACUUCGGCGUUAGCCUCACUGGCAUCAUCCACGUUGAUUUGUACUUCGGCGUCAUCCUCGACUCCGGCGGUAUGGGACACGUUGGAUCUGACCUGGAACUUUCGCGCGUGCUGCCUCCAUCUUGCCACUUUAAUUCUCCUAGCCGUUCGCCUAUUUAAAGCUGCUUGGAUUCCUCUCCCUAAUCACCUCUGCCUGAGAAAUCUCCUACACGUGUGUGUUCUCUGCAAACUCCCUCCUCUGUUUUUUUCCUCCUUUCUUCCUCUUCCCCUGCUAACUCCUUCCAUCUCCUUUGCUCCCAAUUUGUUGUAGGUUGCUUGACUGGCGUGUUCAUCCUGUUCGUUGCCCACUCACCAUCGGCGUUGCGUGUCACUCAACAUCAUCGUACGCUCAAUUCUGCCAGUAUGUGCCCAUGUCACUACAAAUAAGAUUUGUUCCAGCAGUUUUUCAGCCAGCAGUUAUGUUAACAGCUGCUAAAACUAUAUUAUACCAGCAUUUUUUUAUUUUUUUUGUUAUAUUUAGUAAAUCGUUGGUAUAGGGGUAAUAAUUUUUAAUGUAUAAACAAUAUUGGGUCUUAUUUUGUUAGCUUAUUUUAUCAAUUGGGUCAAUAAUUGGGCCAACAUUGGAUUUGAAAAGCCUUGCACCUAAAAUGCACCUAAAAUGCUCCUAGGGUUUCUCUCCUCCCCUUCUCCCCAGGUUAAAUCCCUUCCUCCUCCCUACACGCUCUAUCUCUCUCUCUCUAACCCUUCUUCGUCGCCAACUCUAGGUUAGGAAUGCGGCGGUGGACAUCAAUCGUGGCCUCACGGGCUCCGACGAGGGCCUUCGCUCCCUCGUCGCGUACGUCGCCCUCGCCCUCUCCCGCCUCCUCCGCCUCCUCCACGACCCGCCGGAGACCGCCGCCGCUGCCGAGGCCCUCGUCAACCUCUCCCAGGAUGCUGACCUCGCUGCCAAACUCGUCUACCUCAGCUCCGUCGCCACCGCCAUUGAUGUCCUCUACAAGUACCCCGACCACCCCGCCCUCGCCUGCGGUCUCGUCAUGCUCCUCACUAAUCUCACCCAAGUCGAAUCCGGCGUCGCCGCCCUCCUUCAGGUGCGAUCCUUGAUUCCUUCCUCUACCAAAAGCACCCAAUAGUAUAUUGGCUAUGGUUGGGGUGACCACUUGUUACUGUUGAGUUAAAUUCCUGUAUUAUUUUCUCUAUUUGAUAUUAGUGGGAUAGAAUUGUUUGCAAUGGUUGUAGUAAUUAUAGUAAGAGUAAGCAUUUUCGUGGAUAUGUUUUUUUAUGUUUACGAUGAGCGGAGAAUUGGGAGUGUGUAAGUUGAGUUGAAUAGUUGUCAUUGCUAAGUAGAUGAUGAAAUGUGCAAUUUUUAGCCCGUAAAUUGCACAUUCUUUUUUGUAAUUUUCAAAGUCACCACCUCAAAUACUUACUAAAACAGGAACAAAUUAUAAUCAGUUAUAUAUAAUUGUUUCUGUCGCACACGCCAUGCCGUGUAGAUGUAAUUCUAUUGAACUAAACUAAAUUCUAUCUGUAAACAGUGAUAGUAAUGCAUGGCAAUUGACAUAUGAGUUAUCAUAAGAUUGCUUCAUGAAUUUUGCGGAUGCAGCAAUGUAUCCUGUUCAUUGAAUUACAAAGUAAAAGUAAUUAAUUUUUUAUGCUUAAUAUGCUCAUUCAAUGUUCAAUUGUGCCUGUUUGUUCUAGCUGUUGUAGUGUGUGAGAAUUUGAUGCAUCUUGAACUAAAGAACUUGGUAUAUGCUGUUGAAUCCAAUAACUGAUCCUAUAACUUAAUACAAGUCCCUUUCUUAUGCUAACUGAUCCAAUAACUCAAUGGCGUACUUUUAUCUGAACUUCGCCAACUACAUGAACAUUGAUAAAGGUUGCUGCUGAGCUGAAUGUUUCUAGAAUUGUACUCUUUAUUUGUUAGAAUAUUUGUUUUGCCCUAUUCUUCUCCAAUCUCUGUCAAAAAAAUAUAUUAGUAAUUCUGAAUAUUCAUCUCUGACUGAAGUUAGCUAUUGACUGAAGUUAGAUAUUUUGAUUAUUAUUAUUACCAUCAUAAUUAUUAUUAUUAUUUGCUAUGUGUUCUUGAUUAUCUAAUUAUAUGUUUGCAGCAUUGAUUUGGUUGCUAUUUUGUCUGCGAUUUAGUUUGUGUGGUGAGUUUCUGAAUCAUUAAAUCUAAAUUAGAGACCUUGUGUGGUUGUUCUCUUGUUAGAUAGUUGUAUGAUUUGCUAGUCACUUUGAUUACUACAUUGGUAAUGAUUUAGAUGAAACUUGUGAACCAUGUCUAAAUUAGAGACCUUGAGCAUUAUUCUCUCAUAAUACAAUUAUGUGCUUGCUGCAUCACUUUGAUUACAAAUGUUUGCUCGUGUUUUAGUUGGUUAGGGAAUUUUUGUUCAGCAAUGAUUAAUACUAUGUUUCAUGAUCUUAUUCAUAUACAUAAUUAACAAUAUUUAGCUAUAACUGAUACUAUAUUUCAUGAUCUUCAUAUCAACAACUUGUGUUGAUUUUUGCUUGAAUUAUUUGGAUUUGUUGAUUGGUUAAAUCUCUAUAUAUGUUCAUGUAGAUAUGUUUCAUGAUGUUCAUAUCAACAACAAUAAAGUAAAAAGAUGCAUGCUUGUAAUUUUCUGACUUGAUGUAGUGAUUGGGUCAACAUUUUAUUUAACAGAUUGGAUCUUUUAAAUGGAACUGAUAAAAGACUUAAUGGAAUAUGUAAAUUGGAUAGACAUAAAAUUUGUUACCUGUAGUUUUGCAAAGAAGCUGUUUGUCUGAAACAUAUGCUUUGAAUCGUUAUAUUCUAAAUGCCUUCCUACAUAAACACACCCAGGGGGUGCUCAAUUGCCACUUUUGUGUUCUUCCUCUUGUUUCCUAUAGAAUCCCUGGUACUAGAAGUAGAGUGUUUGCACCCAGGGGUGCUCAAAUGAUAGCAUUUUUGUAUAUUUCCAAUUAAAUGUGGAAGUUAAUUAGUUGAAGAGACUUAGUUAGAUGCGGAAAUUAUAUAUAAUAAGACUAUCUCAUUAAUUAUUGAAUAAUUGAAGCAUCUACAUUCCUUGCAAUCUACAACCACUAAUUGUCUCCAAAAUAAUGUUCUAGAUAGUGUGAAAUGGAGAUUUGGAGAAGUCGCGUGUAAAGUGGAUUGAAAGAAACAUCUUAUUAUUUUUUUUUGGAAAUUUCCAUACAUGAAUUGAUUGUGAACAAAAAUUCUCCGAAUCAAGUUCGACAUUUUCCUUGUGAGAAAUGGCCAAUUCAAUGUGGUUUACGUGCUUCGGACUUUGUCUUAAUGGAUUGAGUUUCUAUUUUAUUUCUGGAGAAAAGAUUUGAGUUUUCUAUUCUAUUUUAUUAGCUGGAAAAAAAAGAGGAGGUCACAUUCGGAAAAAAGUAAAUAAAGAAAUAAAAAAGGGAAAUGACUACCAAAGCAAAAAUGGUUUUAUAUGCUAAUCACGAUGUGUGUUUGAACAACCAGUGCUAAUUGUAAUCCAUUUUGAAAUGGCCCCUCAACUUUAUUUUUUUUGAAGUAACUUCUUCUAAUUUUUUUUAUUUAUUUAUCUAAAAUUAAGUAAUAUUAGUUUGUAGAUAAAUUAGAAAAUUUUAAUCAAAUUUGUAGAUGAUUCUAUUAAGUUUUAUAUAACUACUUUUCGCCAAAUAAAAGUUGAAAAUUUUUAUAAUACUAUCCAGUACUAUUAAGUUUGCAGUGUCCCAACUUCCAGAAUGGUUGUUUUCUUUGUUCAGCUAAAUAUAUAACAAAUAGAUGGCAAAAAGUUGAUGAAUUUUUCUGCACAAGCCUUUUGAUGCUUGUUUGCCAAAUCAUUGUUUAUUUUGAUUAUGAGGUCUCUGAGCUUCAAGCUCACAGUGACUAUAAAGUUUUGGGCGUAAUUUUUUGUAUUGUAACCAUCCUUUCGCACGCACAAACAUGUAAAUGUAGGUGCGUAUAUUUGUAUGAAUUGCUUCACUAAGCCAUGCCAAUUUAAGAUAAAAUCUAUUUAUUCUCGACUUCGAAUUACCUUCCAAGCUCGAUAUAUAAAAUCUGAUCAGCAUAAGUAAUGACUCUUUUCCUUUGCAUGCUGGUCAUAUUUCAAUAAUUAAACACUAAACUGGAAUAUUAUUUGCAAACAUAGAAGGUUAAAUAUUACUUCUUUCUCAUAUGGUAUUCCUUAUGUGCUGCUGUGCUAUUUAUCAGGUGCUGCCAAUUAUCCAUCAUUUUGCCUUCUUCUAAAGCAACUUGUUGCCCCAUUACACACUCAGCUACUGGAUCGACGCUCUAGCAUCAUUAAACAGGUCGAUGUUUCGAGCUCAUUUACUGGCUAUUAUCUCUUAGUGCGAUACGCCAGGCUUCAUUUAUAUGAAACAUUCCAGUGGCAGUUGGUAGUUAAAUCAGGUUUAUUUACUGAUAAUUGAUCACUUCAUAAUAUCCUCUGCUGCUCAUGUAGUGUGAAACCUUUAAAACCUUUAUUAAGUUUGUCUUGUGUGCUGGGAAGAUAAUUGAAACCAAAGUUCGCAUGACCCAAGGACUAAGAUUAAAUACUCUGUUAUGCUAGAGAUGUUCAAAUCUGUGUUGUACUAGGCUGGUGUGUGAUACCCCAGAAAUACUUUGUUCAGCUGAUCUGUAUGAAGAUCUGAUUAAGUGCACUAUAGCAGAUGCCAUUAGUAAGGUAUGCACUUGUAAUUUUGUAAUCAUUGCAUGGGUGUAAGCAUGCAGAAAAUGAUUAAACGUAGCUAAGUUCAAAAUGAGCUUGUUUUGGAAUCAAAUUGAGCGAGAGCUUUUUUUGCUUGGAGUUCAAACCCAACUGCUCGCUAAAGGCUUAGGAAAUUAUCCAUAAGAAGUAAGAAAAGGAUAUGAAAGCACCUAGAGAACGAGAUCACUUACAUUGUUAUUAAUGUGAACUUUGAUCCCAUAUACCUUUUUUUUGUUUUUCUUUUUAUUGAGAACUUUGAUCCUAUAUCCUAUUUAAAUUCAUUGCACGUGUGGAAUAAUGUCGAUAUAACAUCAAAUAUUAUCUCAUUUACAUAAAUAUCAUUUUUCAUACAAAUAAUCACCAUAUCACUAUUGCUUGAUGUGUCACGGCCAUUUACUUGAUAAUUCUUCAUGUUUCCUUCAUAUAUUGCAUCACACAUGUUUAACUAGUAUGGUCUAUAUUUUUUUUUCUAACUAUCAUUAAUUACUAUAGAAAGCCUAUGAUAACAUAAUAUGUUCCUGCCUUUCAUUAUCUUUCUAUCCCCCUAAUCUCAUCAAGAUUAAAUGUCUUUUACACCACUGAAGGUGCGAUCAACUGCACGAGCUUGCUACAGGAUGUUUGCCAAAAUUUGGCCAGAGCGUUCCACUCGCCUUUUCUUGUCAUUUGACACUGUCAAACAAAAGGUACAUCACUCUCUUCUGAAGUGAAAUUGAUUUAUUUGGAUUUCAUAAUUUCACUAAUUUGAUUCCUUUUCAGAUAAUCAAUGAUGAAGAUGGUGAGAAGCACGAAAUAUGUGCUUCUCCAUUACUUAACAAACAAGCAAUUCAACUGCUGCAAACUCCAUCUCAUGCUCCUAACCUAAAUUCACCUACAUGUGCUACUUCUAAUGCACUUGCAAUGGACAAGAGCAUCGAUUUUGCUUCUUUAUCACAUACAAAGCUAUCAUCAAUCAGUGAUUUAGAAAAAAAUUACCAGUCUUCUCUCUGCUCGUAAAGAAAAUGGUCCACCAAUUGCAAUAUCAGUGAAAGCUGUAAAUGUAUCAGACAAGGAAAGGCCUCAUAUUUCAUACUCGAACAAUUCUGAUUAAGGUAUUAUCUUAUUGCUUUUGUGAAUUAUAGCUGGUAUGAACUAAUAGUAUUUACCAAAUUCAAACUUACGCAAUGUCAAAUUUAUUUCAUCCACUUCUCAUCUUCUUUUACUUUUCUUUACUAGCGCAGGAGUUGAUUACUUGUUUGCAAGUUUCUCUUUAUAGAAUUCAACAUUUUCUCAUGCAUCCACGGCUACUUUAAACAAGGAUGUUGUAAAUCAUGGCGAUCAAGAUUCAAAAAAUCUCAUCCCUCUGGUCCACUCGGCGAAAGAUUCUACAAAAUCACCUAACGCCGGUCAGUUAUCAUCAGAUUCCGUGUCAGCCUCUUCAUUGCCUUGCACUUCAAAAAGUUCAGAAAAGUCUCAAAAUGGAGGUGUCAUUGAAUUCACUAAUGAUAUUAGAUCAAGUAAGCAACUUUCUCAUCAAAUUGACGGUAAUUUUAUCCCCAAUUUUCGCCGACCGCUUCUAAAACAAGUCAAUAACUUGCUUCUGGUGACCUGCGUAAAUAGUUUUGAUGAUAGUGAGCUUUUACUGGGUCAAAUGGCUAGCUAUAUCGAUGCUCCAUCAUCUCUUAAUGAUUCUCUAGUUGAGGGCCUAAAGCCAAGUUCAGGUUGGAUUAUGAGAAUUUUCGCAUUCAAUUAUGUCCAUUCAUUGUUGCAGCAAGGACCCAAAGGAAUUCAAAAAAUUACCCGAAGUUUUGACAAGAUCAUGAAGCUCUUUUGCCGGUAUUUGGAUGAUCCUCAUCAUAAAGUAGCACAAGCUGCUUUCUCAACACUAUUGGAGAUGAUCCCGAGUUUUAAAAAGCCUUUUGAGACUUAUCUUGACAGGACUUUACCAUUUAGUUAGAUUCCUAAAUUCUUCUAUAGUAGCAAGCUUGUUGAGUAGCAGGUCCUUUAAUGGAUGAAAUUCAAUUUUCGAUGCUUCCAUUUUUUGCUAUAUGUUACUUACGAUGGAGCUUAUAUGUUUUGAUGUUUGUGUAGUUUAUAUGUUUCAAUUUCUUUUGUUUCAGAUUGAAGCAACAAGCGGGAUUUGAUGUUUUGCAUUUCAAGAACGUUCAGCUGGAGCUUUUCACUCUCCAUUUUCUUAGCUUUCUAACAUUUCGAGUUCAAAUAAAUUUUCUUUUGCAUUGAUUUCUAUUAGAACAUAAAAAAUUGUUUCGCUGCAUUUUGUCAUUGCUACAGAUCAUGAUUUUACCAUCUUGUAGUUUUGUUACAAACAUUUUUACUAGUUUUGUUAUAGAUUUCUCUAUUGCAAUUUAGUAAUGUAACUCUCGUUUUUUUGGAUAUUACAAAUAGUUAAUUUUCCAGCAAAUAUCAAAUGAAAAAGACCUAUUGAAAUUUGUUGAUAUUAGUUUGUUUUUUUUUUUCAUAUUAGUUUUAAAUUGCCAACGGUCAAAAACUGUCGCUACAUAUACUUUACACCAGCGGUUUUUUUUGUAGAAGUACCGACGGUUUAUAAAAUGUUGCUAGAGAUUAUCUUCUCCAAUGGUUAAUAAAAGUGUUGGGAAAGGACAAUACCGGCAAGGAUAUAGUAACGAUCAUUUAUACUUUUACCAACACUUUUAGAACUGCUGGAGCAAAUAUUACUAGUGGUUUUUAUAAUCUUUUCCAGCAGUUUUGGCUGCUGGUGUACACCUAUAUUGUUGUAGUGUGUGUGUGUUUAUUUUUCUAUUUUCCAUUGGUCUAGAGAUAUGCUUACAAUGGUGAAAUGUCAGUUGUCUCCUUCUCCAAUUCUUUUUUUCUUUUUGGCCUUUCCUGGAUUAUGCAUCUAUGCAUGUAUGUUUACUAUACUGUUUGUGCAAGAAGAUUGCUGCAUAAAUGCGAAAAUCUAUUUGGGAUAGAUAAAAAAAUUAAUGAAAAAUAAAGACAAUAAGAAAAAGGGAAAAAAAAAACCUCCUCACUUCUAAAACAAAAAAAAAGAAAUAAAAAAACACCUAAAAAUAAAGGGGAAAAAAGUCAUGUCCUAUCAACAUGAGAUAUUUAUUUAUAUAUUUAUUUUACAAUAUGACAAUCCAUGCUAAGGCUAAUUGGAAUUGUUGUCAUCGAUAUUAGCUUUCGUAGACUGCUCCGCAUUAUAUGCGCAAAGUUUUCUCUACCUCCACCGAAGUAUGGAGUGGGUUUAGAUGCUACAGGCCGGUUUCGAGCUUUUGUAGAUGUCACGGUACCUAGGGUUGGCCCAAUGCUGGAGAUGCUUACAUACUGGGGUACGCCAUCUACAAACAUUGGACAGACCCAGGAGGAUGCUGCUAGGACUCCUGUCGAGAGGCUUCGUGAUGAAUUGCAUUUUGAGAUCAAGGAUAGCAACUAUGAAGAACGGCAGUUUUAUGAGAACUUAUAUGACCAGAUUGCUAGCGAGUACGAUACACUGUAGGAUCAACAUGAAUUGCUUAAGGUGGACUACGGUGUUUUGAAAGGCCAAUAUAAUUCGCUGGUGGACGAAAAUGCAAGGUUUGUUACUAAGUGGAAAGAAGUGAAGGUAGCGAUUGGCAAGUGUGAUGCAUGGUUAAUAGUUCCAAUGUUGUUCCAGUAGACGAGGGCCUUGCAACAUUGAAUACUGAGCUGCCAGCAGUGCCUUCUACUGAGGAUGCGGUGCCGGGUAGUGGUGUAGAGCAUGCAACACCAACUGAGGAGGACCCCGCAACGCCUUCUAGUUAUAGGGAUUGAGUUUUGUACUCUUUUCCCUCUAGUUAUCUAUGUUUUGCUUCUUAGGGAGGGAGGCCGGUUGAGUUUUGGGUUUAUUGUUGUUUCUCCCGGCCUAUUAGCUUUAGUGAAAAACUUGAGGGUUGUGCGGAUUUUCUUUUGUUAUGAUGAGAUUUGCGCUCCCUCUUCUUUUGGUGUAAUCUUUAGUAUGCUGUAUAAAGAAAAAACAAGUUUCUUUUUGUCUAGCUAUUGUCCUUGAUAUUAUAUUUUCUACCCAGAAUUUCGAUGCUCUAAAAAAUUUAUAGGUAAGCAAAAUAGAGGAAUCAUAAGAAAUUAGUUAAUUGGAAAGCAUUUGUGGCAACAAAAAUGACAUUAACUAGAUUGGCAAAUCAGCAACUGCAGAUUUAAGUAGAAGAACUUCUCUACUUUACAAAUCUGAAACAAAAUUCAAAUCAUUUCUUUGCCUACUUAUGGAACCAGUCCUAAGUAGAGAGGAGUGGUAGAAUAUUAUCAAAAUGCCACUAGAUUAGGUUCAAAUGAAUAAGUUAUAAUCAAUGCUGAAAUAUACAUUAGACAUAAUUGAGGAGUUCGAAGUAUUCGAUGAAUUUAAACCCAACUUAAAUAAAAAAAUAUUCUCAAUGCAGCUCCAAGGAGUGGAAAUUUCAGCAAGAUCGGUAGGUAUGAACUCUAAAAACUCUAAAAACUCUAAAACAAGUAAUCAAACAUGCUCGAAUAGUUGAAACUGGUACUUCUCUAAAAUCUGCCAGCAUUUAACAAAUUCUAGAUUUAAGCAAAAUUAAUACUACCUACCUUACUAUCCAGCUAGAAAAAGGUUUCCCCAGAUUUGUCAGCUCACAAUGAAACAAGAAAAACAAAGAAGCUGCCACUCUACUCGAAGAUGAAGUUGAAAUAAAAUUUAGAAUCAAAUUCUAACAAACACUCAUUUCGGAUACAAAAUCCACUAGAAACAUCAAGUCAGCUUAACUAACCUAUCCACCAAGCUAGAAGCAAUUCCAAAAUGACUAGGAAUGAAGGAAGAACCAGCCAAAAUUUACUCCUAAAGUUCAGCUACAAGAAUGGACUAAAAACAUUAACCAAAUCCACAAACACACAACUUCAGCUCCCUCAAUUAAACACCAACUCACAUGAAAUUUAGCUGAAAGAAUUGAUCCCGUAACUCCUCUUUAUCAGAUAAUCAACAAGCACAUCCCAAUUUGAUAAUUAAAAGCUCCUAUGUCACCUAAUUUUGUUUGCAGCACACACCUUGACUGUUCCUGCUGCAGAAUCUACUGCUGCUGGCUGCAGCUCAACUUGCUGCUACUGCCGAUUGCUGUCCACUGCAACUGAUUGCUGUCUUGCUGCUGCUGGCAUCAGGUAGUGUUGCUGAAAUUGCUUGAAUGCUGGCAGCCAGCAAGGAGAAAAAUAGGAAAAGGGAGAGAAGAAGAGAAAAAUAGAGGAGGAAAGAAAAGAAGGCAAUGAGGAGAAAGAAGAAGAAAUGAAAGGAAGGGAGAGUGUACCAGCUAACUACUACCAGCCAAAAACUCCAAUUAGUUAUUAGAUAAAUACAGCAAACAAUAUGUCAGAAUGAUUAUUACCAGCCAAAAACUCCACUUAGUUGGUAGGUAAAGCAAACAAUAUAUCAAAAUAGUGUCAUAUAGUUCGGCAAAUUAUAUUGCAGUCUACAUGCUCUCCAAUGAACACUCUGGAACCCCAAUUCGCAACGGGCACGAAAAUGAGCAAUACAAGAGUAGCAUACCAUAAAUUAAAACUUGAAUUAUGAUUGCACAUAUUAAUUCGGGCCAUCAGUUUUAUAAUAACACAAGUAACAUCUUGCUAACUAUAAGAUAUUAAGUAUAUUUAGGAAAAGAUAAUAGGGAGUUAUGGAAAUGUUCGUCGACCAAAAUUACAAGACAAUAAUUCAUAGGCAAAAAGAAAAAAAAAAGAAGAAGAAUAAACUGAUUGUGAUAUUGCCCUUCAUUUAUUUUUUUUUAAAAGGUAAUAAUAUAGUAAAUUAGAAAUUUAAAUAAGCCAAAGAACACAAAUAGGUAAACAAACACAAGAUCCAACCUUAGAAGCUGAAAAAUAAACUAAGGUGCUAAGAAUGUUUCAUAAACAGGUUACAUAGCUUCUUAAGACAAUACAAGGGUAUACAGAUCUUUACUUAUUAAAUACUUGAAUAUUGCUUAAAUGUACAUCAGAAUCUGAAGAAAAAUUUGAUGCAAAAAUAUGGAGAAUUUAUCUGCAAAAAGAAGAGUAUAGGCUCCAGCAAAUCCUAUUUUCCAUAUAUUAUUUGGUAAAAAUAUAUUGAAUUUAUCUAAAUUAUGACUCAUUCUGAUUCGUAUAAUUUUAUUUUAAAAAAAUUAAUUUUGCAACUUUACCUUUUGACUUAUUUCAUUUGACUUAUUUAGUAACUCUUAUAUUCCAAAAUUUGAAGGAGUUGUUUACAUCUAUGAGCUUAAUUAACACAUUUCGCAUAAUUUAUAUGACUACAAAUCAACAGAUUGAGUAUAAUUGAUAGAUUGAGUGUUAAAAUUUAAAUUUUAAAAGAUUGGGUCGUUGGUGAAAAUUGGCUUCGAAAUUUACACAAGUUGUCGAAAUUCAUGCUGCCAGAUGCAUUUGAUCUUACUCAGGGCAUUUCUAUGAAAUGCAGAAUUGUUUCUAAUGAGGAGAAAGCAGCUAUUUCUUUCUCUGCUUUUCUGCUUUGCCUAUCAAUUGUUUUGUUAUCCAUAUGUUUAUUUUACUACUUUUUAGGAAAUAUUUUCUUACUUGGACGGAGGAUUCAGGAUCGGUAGUGUGAUGACCUUAUCCAGCCAGAUGUGAUUUUGGAAAAGUUGAUGAAAAUUGAGGCAAAUAGAUUUAAAUUUGGUUGUGUAAUGAAAUUGCUACUUUACCCAACUGUUAAAAGGUUGAUAGCUAAGAAGAUGUUAAUUUAACGUAGAAGAUGCUCUACUAUCUUUCCUUCCAUCAUGAUGCCCUUAUCCCUAAUAUUAUACAUUUUAGACUAUGCUGUCAAAAUUGCUCUAGUUUUUAGUGUUAUAUUUUCUUCUUCGACUGUAAAUUCAUCUUAUAUUCCUUUUGGGAAAAUAUAAACGAAUGUAUUAUCAGUUCCGUGGAAGUGAUGUCAAUUGUGUUUCCUUUCUCUUUAUACACUUUCCUUCGUUGCUUUUGAGGAUUGAAAGAAGAACCCCACUGAUGAGAUUUGUUGAAAAAAAUUUUGAGAAUCCCGAUAUGCCAAAUUUAUUAGCACCUCAUCUAUCACAUUUCAAUGAUUCAUUUGCAGUGUUUAAUGUUGUGUUGUUAUUUUAACUGUUUGCAUCAAACAAUUUAUGUUACGCCCCGAGCCCGCCUCUUUGGUCGGAUUCGGGCACGCCGACAGACUGCCGAACGGACAGAGUCUCCCCUGUACGUACAAGGCAUCGCAAUCAAUACAGUACAAGAGGUUCCAACUAGGAACAAUAUUCAAGCAGAGAUUGCAUAAGGAAGUAUCAAAAACAUAGACAACUAGCUAUUACAAGCAUUCGUCUCAAUUUAACAUUUAGAUUACAAAUUACAUUGCUUUAACUAAAUUCUUACUCCCAAAUUGUAAGGACCAAGAUUUUGGUAGUGUAGCUAAACUCUCAGUUGACGAUAUUUUUGUGUGUAAUUUAAUUACAAAAGCACUCGUCGAGUUUCAGGAGAAACCGAGUUAAAUCGGAGAUUCUACGCGAUUUCCAAGUUUCACUUAAAGUGAAUAGUAACUCGAUUUUCUGGAGAAGCCACGGUGUGAAGUUGGCUUCUGGCGCGUAUCGGACUCCGUUCAUAGCAGUCCAAUAGCUCGUUUCGAACGGUUUGGUCAUUCUAGAACCGAUGGCGCUAACGGAUUUUGAGUUUGAGGUACGAAUUUCGAGAAAAUUCGAAAAUACAUGUUUUAUAUGUAUUUGUGCGUAGUUUCUUUUGUUGGAAUGAUGGACUGAGUUCGUCGCGAAUCCGAGACCGAUCAAGGAGAAACGAAAUCGUAGCUUUGUGGUCUCCGUCGUGUUGAUCGCACUGGUGCAAUCCGUUCGCAAAUCGGACGGACGGAUCUGCGGAGAUCGCGCGUUGAUCGAGAAAAGGUCGGUGUUGGCAAAACGGUAAUUUCGCAAAAGUUGCGACAUUUUAUGUACCGUUUUACGCGAGAUCGCACGUGGAGGGGUAUUCUCGCGUUGUUCACACGCUGUGAGGGAUUUAGUUUGAAAUACUGAGGUUUCGUGGGCUAACUUGCAAAUCGGCACCUUGGUAUAUAUAGAGCUUUUAGGGUUUCUUCCACCUAACCCUAGACCUUAGCCACGCCCUCAGCCACUUCUUCUAUCUUCCCUGCCCUAGCCGCACUUCUCCCGGUCGCCGCCGACCGAGCCCCGGCCGGCCAACAGCAACCGCAGCCUCCUCAGCCACCUUUUUCUCUUCCCUCUUCAUCCCUCUCCCUCUAUCUUUCUUCCUCUCGGGUUGCGGACAGAUCUGAGGCUGCAGUCAUCUCCCUGCACCAUUCCGGUGUCGCCCCUGUGCCCUGGCAAGCCUCCCCGCCGACCGCCGUCACCUCUGGGCAUCGCUACUGCUGCUGCUGCAUCCUGCGCCCAGCUUGGCCGAGCCCAGGCAAAGCUGACCGUGCGGCCUUCCCCUCGCGUCGCCGCCACCCCGGGCCAACCUUGAGGCAUCUCCUCCACCUCGGGCAGUCGGCCGCCGUCACCCUGAGCCGCCCGGAGCGCCGCUGCAGCCGCACCAACCGCCUGCUGCCUUCUAGACUGAGCCCAGGCCGAGGUAGGUCUGCGACCUCUUCCCCGCGCCGCCACCACCUUGGGCCACCCUGUGGCACCCCCUCCGACCUCAGGUGGUCGGUCACCGCCGCCCUGAGCCGUCCCGAGCGCCGCCACCGCACUAGAGUCGCCCUGCGGGUUUUCUGGCAAGCUCGAUCCGAGCCGAGCUUGCGGCUCCAUCCUCGCAUCGCUGCUGCCCGGAGCCACUUCCUCGGCUUCCCUCUGGCCUCCUGCAACCCUCUGCCGCCGUCCUUGAGCGCCACGGUCACUGACGUGGCCACAGUUGUACUUGGAGCCCGAACCGGAUCUUGUGCGGGCUCGGUUUGCUCCGCCGUCACCGCCGCCGCUCCUCGCCGCCAACUGUGGUGAGCACCACACUCCUCACCUCCCCCGCACCCAUCGCUGACCCUCGCGCACCUCGCGGCGCCGCCAGAAGCCGGCCGGAGCAAGCUUGCUCCGGCCAAGCCCGAAAUAGGGCUUAGUUGGGUAGGUUUGCGGUUCCGAGCUACCCGAGGCUCCCCGACCUCUGCGGAAGGGAGCACGGUGAUCGUGGCAACUUUCUAAUCAUCGUGCUCACCUUAGAUUCUGUCGGGGAGACUCCGUUCUGCUGUUUCGGCGGUGUCGACCCUGUUGAGCCUUUUCGGCUGCUGUUCCGUGUUUGUGCACGUUUUUUCGGCGAUCCGAGGCUGUUCCAAUGCCUUCGGAGGUAAGCACAGUGAUCCUUGGUCAGUGCUGAUCACAGUGCUCACCUUACUUUGGAUCAGCGGAUGUCGUAUCGGCCUGUUCGGCGCGAUUUUCCCCGACUGCACGCUGUUCGCUAAACCAUCGGGUACCUAUCGGUAGGGCGAGAGAGUUUUGGUCAGGACGGUAGUUCAAGCUUAGACCCGAGUACGUGGAAUGUCACGUGUUAGAAUGCGAGACCGAUGAUGCACCGAGUGUGUAGUGACCCAACCCAAGGAUUUGAUAUGGAUUGAGGUCUUGAUAGCUCCUGGUUGGAGUGUGUGCGAAUUCUCCAAUGAGAAUGUCGCCCGAGAAUGUUGAUUGAGUCUGCGCUUGCGAGCGAGAGAUGCUAGGCAUCGUUGAGACGAGCUAAGUGAUUGACCUACGCAGGAUUGGUGGCCUUAGUUCGCCUGAGGAAACCGACGGUCGGUAUAGCUGAAAACUCUAAUAGUGAGUUGGGCUUUGAUCCGCGAACGAAGAGUUCGUGUGGAGGUGAACGUAGCCUAAAAUGUCAAGGGAUAAAGAGAAAGUAAAGUGGUCUCUAGGAGACACUUGAAUAAUGGAUAACCACGCGAAAAGUUGGCGUUGAGAAUGAUACUCUCAAGAGGAUUGAGAAUCCAAGAUGCACGAGAGAAUGCCAUCUCACGAUAGAUGGGAAUGAGAUGGUACAGAUAAGAUGAUAAGGUGGUAUCGGGCUCCUAAAUAGCCAACGUGAUGAAGUGCCACCGAGUGGUUACUUGAGUAAUUCGAGAAAGUCUACCCAUGCAUAUAGAGUUGUGGUGGUAGAUCAUUCAUCGAAGUGAUGCGAUCUUGCUGGAUCCACACCACCGGGAUGAAAGGGUAGCCCUGAUCUCGAACGGUGAUGAUGUUCGCUAGAACCGCGAGGGAAUAGGUCCUUCUUCAGCCGAGUGGCUAGUGAAGAUAGUGUGUGUGGGGUCUUGAAUAUUGACCCACACCGCCAGUGAGGUUUGUAAAGUGAUAAUGCACUUUUGAUGUUGCAAGAGGAAAAUGUGAGUAAACGUGGUCUCACGUUCUUCGUAGUGGGCCUUUAAAUGAGUUCGAUGAGAAUAAAGGCCACUCCGAAGUACAAAAGUGCAUUAGAACCCUUGAGAACUCGAGGAGUGGAUCGAGGAAUAAAGAGGGUAAGAACGAGUGAGUUUCGAGGACAAAACUCUUUUAAGGAGGGGAGAAUGUAACAAUGUGAACUCUCGAAAUCCGAGGGUUGCGCCUCGACUAGAAUUGACUAAGGGUCGAAUGGAUAAGCUUUGGAAAAGCUAAGGAUGCACGAAAUCCGAGAAGUGCAUUGGAAUGGGGUCCGCGAGAGCAAACAAUGCAAUCUGCAUUUUUGGGCUAAGAUUGCUCUCGGGGACCGAUCUCUGGAGGUGAGAGACCAGUCCCAUCAACUGAAGGCUGCGGGGGUUGCUGAUGCAACCGGUCCCUGGCAGAGGAGGGACCGGUCCCAGCCUACGACACCAGUGAGAAGAGAGCCGAAGAUCGGCUAAGUCCCAAGAGUUUAGCUCUCGGGAACCGGUCUCUCUGAGAGGAACCGGUCUCCCGAGGACCGGUCCUCAGGGAGGGACCGGUUCCCGAACGCGUGUCCGCGGGGGGAGGCCCCGGGGACCAGUCCCUGGUCGGGGAGAUCGGUCCCUCAGCGCGCAGAACGCCCAGUGAGGGCUGUGUAAGAGAUGAAAAGUGGAGGGGCUUAUGUGCAAAAUGGCCAUAUGAGGGGUUAUUUGAGAGAUGCCUUUCUCUCUCUCUCUGUCUCACUCCCUCACACUCUACCUCACAGUCUCUCUCUCUCUCUCUCUCCGUUCGUAGCAGAGGAAAAAGGAAAAGAAAGAAGAGAAAGAGAAGAGAAGAAGAAAAAGAGAAAGGAAAGGAAAAGAAGAAGAGGACCAAGGAGGAGAUCCUCUUCCUCAUCUUCAUCUUCAUCUUCUUCUCUCCAUGGAGCUCUUUGAGAGGUAACCUUGGAGCCCUCUUAUGGUAAAUCCUUAAAGAUAGGGUUUUGAUCUCUAGAAAUGGUAUUUUUGGUACCCUAGCAUGCCUCUAAGAUGGAUUUACCCCAAAUCCUAGAUUGAUUUGGUGGAUUUGUUGGUAAUGGCAUCUAGGGCACCCAAAAUAGGGUUUUUGUAAAUAGAUGAGUUUGAUCUCAUUUGACCCUUCGUAAACCUAAUUGGUAGGUAACGAAACACAUUGGCGAAGUCGGUUCGGCAAUCCGACAAGCCGUUGCGAAGAUAUUGAAGAAACGGGCGCUCAGAGCUUCGUUUCCGCCUGGGAGGCCGAGGCGACGUCCAUAAAUCGUGAAAUAGGGUCCCGAGCACCGUAGCGGCAAGGCGAAGAUCGCUAGCACUUGAAACGGCGAAGCGGCGAGCUCGAGGGGAGCAACUGUGAGAUCGGGCCCAAACGGGUGCCGAGUGCCGCGGGAGGCCGAUUGCAAGUGUCGACGAGCAAUCAGAACUCGUGUUAAGGUGGGUUGUGCUUACAGAAGCGACUAGGUCGCCCUUUAUGUCUUAGCAAUGUAUCUCCAUGUUGAUGCAUGUGCAUGUAGACGAGGACAAGAAAUGCAUGAUGAAUGAUAAUGCAUAAAGUAAAGGCUAAGUAGAGAAUGCAUAAUAAAUAGCAAGCAUGAUAGCAUGACAUGUAAAUAAUGCUAGCUAAGGUAAAGGAUGCACACUAAUAGUAAUGCAUGGAUGGAAAUGCUAAAUUGAAUGCAUGAUGAACAAAGAUGCAUAGAGUAAAUGCCAAGUAGAAAGCAUAAGUUAAUAACUCUAGUGUGAGUAGAGUUGAUUGGACAACUAGGUUGUCAGGUAGAUCGAGUGGCACCUAACCUAGUGUUAAAGAACAUAGGUUAAACAAGUGAACCUAGAGUCGAACAAUCUAGGUGUGUGGCAUCGAACCUAGUGUUAGUAAACCUAGGUCGAACUAGUAAACCUAGAAGUGGACAACUAGGCCAAGAUGACAAAGACCUAGCAAGUGUAUCUAGGUUAAGUGACGUGGACAUAGAACCUAGAGUCUUGGAACCUAGGUUGAUGAGUAUAGUGGUAUAGCCACUAGGAUGAGUUAGGUCGAUGAUAUAGGGUUUGUUAUGAACCCUCAACCUAUGGAAAGUGGAUUUCGGGAUCCCAGGACUUUUGAUGUCCCUAGUACAAGCUAGGGCGUGUGUGCAACGACUUCGCCACCGAGCUUGGUACUGUGGGUAGAUUGGGCGUGACCACGUGGAGAUCACCGCCCGGGGCUUGAACCAUUGCCGUGGUGUUUGUGCGACGAUUUCGCCGCCAGGAUGGUUAAGCCAUUUGAGGAUCAGACCGCCAGAGCAGACUGAAUCCAUGCUGGGUAAGUACGAUGCGGGUGCCUCCAGGUGGCUAAGUCUGACAUGUACCGUUGUUGGGUGUGGUGCGACCCGUUCGCCGCCAGACGGUGUGUCAGAACCCAAGCUCACGCUGGGUAAGUGCAACGCGAUCGCCACCAGGUGGUCAAGUCGUGCGACUUGAGCCGAGCUUAGCGUGUGCGACGACUUCGCCGCUAGUGGGCUGAGAGCGGUAGGCUGAUGAGCAGCCGGUGCGCGGGCUAUCCGCGGAUGAUUGACUCGAAGCCGAGUCGGGUGGUUAGCUUCGAUAAGGUAGAGGAACCCUUAUGAGCUAGAGAUAGAGGCUUGAGCUAAGGUGAUAAAGACCUUAGGAGCCAGGGGACUCGAGUGUGAAUCUAAGGUAGUAGAACCUUAGAGUAAAGAUAUGAGCUAAGAGUAGCCAAGUAAAUGUAGAAUCUAAUGAUCUACUAGUUGUUGCAUAGAGUUGCAUGAUUUUCAUAUCGCAUAUCGUGAGGCAUGGCAUGUAUUUCAAUUGAAUAUAUAUCUGUUGUAUAUUGUUGAACUAACAUGUUGCAGUGCCUCCUCGGACCUAUCGGUCGAGCUUUUCCCUUGGGUAGCCGUACCUAUUGGGAACCAUGGAGUUGGUUCUCACCCCACGUGAUUUUGGGGUGUUUUCAGGUUGUACGUGUGCAGCGCGGUGGCGCGAGGCGAGGGCGUAGCUCAGUAGAUAGCGCCCUACCACAGAGACCAAGGUAGCAGUACCAUGAGGCAGUCUAGCUUAGGGGACUAGAAAACUAGAAUCAAGAUGUAUCAACUUGUAAAUUAAAUGAUGUAAUAAUUAGAUUGUAAUUUGGAAGUAAAAUGUAACUGAGUUGUAUUAAGUGAAUGCGAUUGAAUGCUUGUAAUAGCUAUUAGUUUUAUGUAUUUGAUACUUCCUUAUACAAUCUGGAUUGAUAUCCGUUCCUAGUUGGAACACUCAUUGUAUUGUUUGGAUUGCGACGCCUCGAACGUACAGGGGAGACUCUGUCCGCGUACAGGGGAAACCCCAGUCCGUUUGGCGGUCUGUUAGCGGCGCCGCGACCCGGUCCAAAUUGGCGGCUGGUCGCGGGACGUGAUAGUUACAGUGAAUGUUGCACUACUAUUACGACCGUAUUGCACUCUUACAAGUUUAGUUGUACUCUUUUAUCCCGCGUUGGACUAUUUUUCGGUUUUUACGGAUUUGUUUUUACUAUUAAUUACAUGUUAUCAUCGAUUAGGGAGAGAAUUUUACACUGCUUAAUAACUCGUUGCAGAAUUAAUGUUAGGCAAAUAUUACACCAUUAAUAGCGACUUGUUCCAGCUAGUGUUCCACCCGUUAUGCUACACUGGUUGGAACUGCAUUGCACUGUUACGAUGAGUGUUGCACUAUUAGUAAGAAGCGCAGUGCACUCUUACAAGCUUGCUUGCACUCUUUUACCCCGCGUUGUACUAUUAUUCGCGUUUUACAUUGCACUAUUAUUUAACUGCUCUAAGCAGAAAGUAAGCUUUUUUAAGAGAUGUUGCAUGAUAUUCCUUAAUCAUUUAGGUGUUAUGUUGCACCUCCCGAACGCCGCCCCCGCCACUGCCAAGUGACUGGGGACGCGAUAUACGACCACCCUCCUGCCCCCGUCGCCGUGCAUUUGGAGGGGACGUCGUUCGUCACCGUAGAAAAAUUUAUGGACUUAUUUGUCAUAUUGUCUUCAGAUUAUAUCUUCAAAUACAGAGAACGAUCAGUAUUUUAUUUUAUUUAUUGCACAAAUUCGGGGAAUGUUACACCACGUCGAGCAUUUUGUUGAACUAGUUCCUUCGAGCCUUUUGUAGAACUAGUACCUUAUGGGGGAGUGGGCAGAAGCGGUGGUGAGGGAGAAGAUUGAACGCCAACGUUGGUCAUCUGAGCGGCGGAGAUUGCAUUAGUGCGAGUCGAAGGAUGCACUAUUAGAAGGACUGUUGCACCAUUUCUCCUCGCGUUGCUCCGGGGUGUUGCACUAUUAUCCCUGUUACGGGCCACGUAAUUCUUGUCUUUUAGCUUCGAAAAAUUUAUUUUCUUAAAGCCGAACAGCAAACAGCUAGGCUGGCGAAUAGCGGGGCGGAUUUGGUUUGGGUACCGAAAAUGAGAGAGGUUGCGUAAAGCGCAAGGGGCGCAUUUAAUGCCCGUCAAGACCGUAUGUCAGGGUACACGUAUCUCAGAGAAUAUGCGAGCGGCGGAUGUAGAUGAGGGGCAUUUUGGUCAGGCGGCUGAAAAUCCGACCCGAAAUUGUAAAAUCGAAAAAGGUGGCCCACUUUUGCAAAAGUGCAAAACUAGUGGAAUUUUUAUGCAAAUUGGCCUAUUUUUAUUGGGAAAAGUCUACCUGUACUCCUAUAGGAAGGUGUAUAUCCUACACCCGUAUGAUCCAACGGNUCUCCUCUCUCUCUCAGUCGCUCGCUCGCUCACCUCUCUCUCUUUAGCUCGCUGCCUCGCUCGCCCGCCUCUCUCUCUCACGCUACCGCGCUCGCCUCUCUCUCUCUUUAGCACGCUGGCGCCAAAAUUUAGGGCAAAAGAGGGAAAACGUGAGGGGAUAAAAUGUGGGAGUGAGGUUAACACUGAUUUUUUUUUGUUUUCAAACUAAGUUUAUAUCAGCCGUUAGAUCAAGGAGUUGUAGGAUCUACAACUCUAAAUGGGGUGUAUGGGUAGCACGACUCUUUUUAUUGUUUAUCAUUUCAAGUACCAAAGUGUAGGCGUGUGGGAUAACCAAUGGGCAAGGACUUGUUAGAUAGAUUUCUUUUUACGAAUACUUAGUUUUUCUUUUUUAUGUUAAAUUGAAUGGAAUGAUUGUUAUCCCUAUUCAUUAUAUUUGGACAAUUAAUAAUUAUUACUCAAUUCUAUUUUAAUUAAUAAACUUUUUAAUGUAGUACCAAAUAGGGAAUGUGGCUUUGAUUCUAUUUAAGUUCUUUUAUUUUUGGGGCUUUUUUUUCGGAUUCAUAGUCAAUUGUUGCAGUUCAGUUCAGAUCCAAAUAUUCGGAUCCAAAACGUGACAUGGACGUUAUCGGGUUUUGGAGCGUGGAUAUAUAGAGAAUUUUGACAGCUCUCUUCACGUUCGAGAAGUGACAAGUGAAAUAAGACAAAACUCUUGGAAGAUACAAAAGUAUUAAAAAUUAGAAUGAUCCAAGAAAACUUGUAAGACAAACAACCUAAUCCGAUUCUUGAAUACGGUGGCUAUAUAUUCAGUUUCUUAGUUUCUGAUGCCCACUCUUUCUAACACACAUUUUGCCUAUUCCCAUACAAAAAAUUGGGAUAGACAAAACUUUUUUUUGUACAAUAUGAUUGCCAAGUUCAAAUAUUGUAAAAGACAAAGUGUUCAAUUAUAUAAAAAAUAUAUAAAAAAAAUCUUUUUAAUAGUCUAGAAGAAUCAAGACUACAGGUUUACAUUUUUAUUUUAAAGUCUUUUAGCUAGUUUGAAUUUCAAAAAUCAUUGUCACUGCCGCAUCUACAAGUUGUGAGUGUAAAGGCUAGAGUAAUAAGUUUCUUCAAACAUUAUAACGAGGCCAAAUUGCGAAAACAAUCCACUACAAAGUAAUUUAGGACAGAUCUCUUAACAAUAUUGUUGGUCGAAAAUCAUAAGAAGAUAAUCGCUAUCGUUCAGCUUACUAUUCCGAUUUAUUUACGAUAAGCAGGCAAUGUUUUAUCUAAUUAAGAAAAAGGAGAAAGUGUGUGACGACUGGGCAGCACUUUGCCAAGACAGAAAGGCCGCUUCAAAAAUUGUGAUGGCAGUUGUUACACUCCAAUCCCGAGGCGUAAUACAAAAAAUUAGUAUCAGAGGCGAAUAUCAACUAGAAGUGUAAGAGCUAAGUACUAUAUAAGACAAAGUGUCACACCAACGAAUUUGGUGAGAGUUGUUGGAUAUGGCCCACAUGAUUUAUUUAAGGCGAUUUAUAAAGUUACAGUCGGUUUAUUCAAGUUGAUCUAUAGAUAUGAUAGAUCUAACGGUUAGAAUGUAUAUGGACACGUGCUUGAUGGACGGACGUGAUUUAAUAUCCUCACAUUAAGUUAUAUAUAAAUAUGUAACAUACGAGAGUCCCGGUCUAACCAUAAUCCAAUUUUCUGUGACGGCUCCAUCUCCGGAGAUAAGAAAAUUACACUCGAAACGUGCCGUUUUCUUGUACAUCGCGAACGAGAACGAACCACGAGCAAAAAUCGCGCCUACAAAUCGGAAUCAUGGCAGAAUUUAUAAUAAAGUUUCAACAGGAGUCACCUCUUGAACCCGUAGGAGCUAUUUCUUAAAUCUCACAUCACAUAAUAAUUCUGAUCUGUAUAUCUAUGAUCUGAAUUUGGACGUGACGACAUAUGAGGCAUAUACGCUACUAAUAAUAACCGAACUUAAUUAUUUUAGACCGACGGUUUGGAUUCAAUAAAUUAUUGUUGCUAGUGGGUCGAGUCACUAUAAUAAUAGUGGUAAAAAGCACGCAGAUCUCAUGGUCACAGGGCCUAAUUUUACUUCUUUUUUUAACAAAGCAAGGAUUGCAUGCAAACCCAAUCCCCGCCUUCUUAAUUGGUCAGUGCAGCUCAUUACUUCAUCAUCACCGCUCGCCAUAUUAUUAUUACUAGGAUGGUAACCUGAUGCGUCGGGUGUUUUUUAAUUUUAUAUAAUAAAUUUUAUCAGAAAUAUUUAAUAAUUUUUUAAAAAAUUGUAAAGAAAUAAAAAAAUCUACAUGUGCAUAACCAAUUUAACAUUUUAUUCAAGUCUAAGAUGCUGUCAUGCCCCGGGACCUAGCGGAAGCCCGCCCGGAACGUAUCCAGACCCGCCGUAUGUCUAAAACAUAUAAGGCGUCUAAAACAAAACGAUAAAUAAGACAAUAAAAGAGAACAUCUAGAAGCAUCAGAGCAAGGUAUAUCUAGAAGCUACAAUAAGGGAAAAGAAUAUAAAAGUAAAUCCACUAAGAGAAAAAAUAUAAAGUAGUACAACGGAUGUCCCAAAAUAAGUGCUAGAAAGGUACAUAGGUCGUCUCUCUAUACAUGGUGCAAAAUUUCUUUCUCUAAUACAAUAAAAGAAAGAGUAAACCACCUAAGCUCAAAAGUAGCUUCUCUCUAUCUAGCUAGGCGACACCUUUGCCACGAUCCCAUGCCUCCGCCGGUGCCGAAGGCUCUGAAAUAAAACCACAAAAUAGAGGGCGUGAGAACUAUUAAAUAAUAGUUCCCAGAGGGCAAUUACUGACUUCAGUGAAAUGCGCCACUAGGCCCAAAAGCUACAAAAUAGGGGUCAGUGUAUAAGUCUAAACAAAAGGGAUAAGUACAACUAGUAAAUAAACAUGAAUACCUGCUACCACAAGAUAUUUCUAUUUAGCAUGAUUUUGGUCAAGUAAUAAAAAGGCUACACUAGUAUGAAUGUACCAAAUCAUCACUAGUAUGAUGUCCAUAAGCUAAAUAGUAAAGAUGUCAUUGUUUACUAUUCUAGUUAUUGUCCAUAUGUCAUGAUGAAUGCUCAAAGUUAAAUCUAAAGAGACCAGCCCGAAGGUUGUCUGGCCCUGAGACCCAGCCGUAGGUUGUCUGGCCGGUGCCGAGCUUAAUAGCCCCGUGGUAGUCAACAUCCCCACCCUAUGAAUGAACCUAGCCCACGACAAUCCACUUCGACGCCCAAUCCUGCACGACCAAUAUGUAUCACGAUGGCUAUCUCCAGAGUGCCAGCUUGUAGGGAGCGAUCCUCACAAGCAUGUGCGAAUGAGCACAAUGGCAAGUAACCAAAAGAUUCAUCUCAAGUAUCAAGUCCUCAUGUCUAACAACAUGGAAUACGUCACAUCUCUCAUAGGCCUAUCUCUAUGUCAUUAUUUCUCUAAUAUGGAAUAUAAAAGAUGUCAAUGGCCUAUCACUAAGUCUCAGAUAACAGUUUCAUAGUUUGCUAGUCCAAGUGCCCCUUUAUGACACUUUUGGUCUCUAUGUCCAAGCAUGAUAAUUAUGAUCAUGAAUGCAUAAUUCUAAUCAUGUUCAUCGUACGAGACAAGUACCCAACUCGCUAAAGAACCACUUCUCAUAUGCAUGCUAAAAACCCAGAAUACCCUACUACAUAGAGUGAAAAUUUCAUGAUACAUAAGGCAUGCAUUUUAAGUGUUCUAAAAUUCACAUAAAUUCUAUUUAGCAUGGAUUUGAUGUCAAAUUGAGAUUACAAGUACAAAAUGCAUAUGGGUCAUUUUGCUCCGUUUUCAUGAAGUCAAACCCACCACAACUCUUACAACUCUUCGUAAGCUUCGACGAAGAUGCCCACUAGUCUCCUAGCACCCUAAAGAUGUAGAAACAAGAGUCAAACGGACCUUACGAACAACACAGAGCUCAAUCAUUAACCAUCUCAAGCUAAGGUGGAGAAAAACUUACCAAGUGUCAAGGAAGCUCUCUCGAUCUCCAAAUGGGAGUUAGAGUCCUUCAAAUCCAACCUAAACUAAGGUUCUAAACCCAUCAAUUAGGUCUCAAAGCCCUCAAAUCGAAAAUCCCCAAAAUAAACCCUAAAAUCCAAAUCUAGGGUUUUAUUUAGUAAAAAGUUCCAAAACUAGGAUCUAGAGGAGAGGAACUAGCCACAUAUCUCUAGGAUGCUCCAAACCAAGCUCAAAACCCUCAAGGAUUGGAGUUUGAUCCUCUACAAAGCUCCAAGUCCAAACUCCAAGCCUCCAAUGGUGAAGAAAGAGAGAAAGGGUUGAUGCUCCAAGCUCCCUCAAGCAAGCUCUUCCUCUCCUCCUUCUUCUUCCUCUUCUUCUUCUUCUCUUUCUAGAGGUGUGAGAGAGUGAGAAGUGAGGGAAAGAGAGAGAGGAAAUCGCUCUAAAAGCCCUCUAAAGCAACAAAAUCCAGUUAGGUCCCUCAAUAAUCCGUCCUAUGCACUGCCCUAGUCUGGGCAGUUUUCGGGUGGAGGGACCGGCGCGCGGUCUCUCCCUUCAGGGACCGGUCCCUAGGACCCUCCAGCCAAUCCCGCGUACGGGAACCGGUCCCUCAGUCUGGGGACUGGUUGCAUUACGCAACCGCCGAAUCCAAGCUACGGGGACCGGUCUCUCCCACCAAGGACCGGUCCCCGAGAGCUAAAUUCUCAGGAAUAAGUCCAAAACUCCAGUCUUCGAACUUUUAGGUUGAAAUACCAUCUACGACCCUUCACCAAGUGUGGAAAAGCUCGGAAUCCAAGUCAAGCACUCGAACCUCGCAAUUUGCACAAAUCCAAUGUGUUACAGAUGCUUAAAGAAAAAUAACGCAAAAAAAAGUGAUAGAAUUAAAAAGAACAAAAAUAGAAAAAUUUAAAGGAAAAACAGUUGACAUUACAUUAAAAAUAUAAAAAUAAAAGUAUAAGAAAGAUAAAAAAGAAGAAAAGAAAUAUCAUAAGAAAAAUAAAUCAUAUUUACAGUAACAUACGACACGUCCACUAAAAAAAAAAUCUUUUGUAGCUAAUCAUUUAGUAGAAAAAAUUAAAAAACUAUAUCAUAUACUUCUUAGUUUGAGUAAGAAAUUGUAACGCAUAAAAGUUCAAGGAGUCAAAUUUCAUGCAUCUUAUUAUUUGAUGACCAAAAGCACAAUUUAUAUGUUUUGUUUUUAUUUUAAAAAAAGACAAAGUUGAGAAAUGAUCAUUUUCUUUAAGUAGUAAUUUUAUAUAAGAAAAUUACAUGAAUUUUAGAAACCCUAAUUGUUAAAAUUAAAACUCGAUCAAUCAAACUUUAGAUAUUUCAAAAAAUUUUAAAUGUAAAAUUAAUCACUCAUGGAAUUAUAAAUAUUGUAUUGAAAUUUGACAGUAAAAAUAUAUAAAACUUUUCUGAAUUAUGAACCAUUUUGAAUCAUCUAUCCAACUUUCAAAAACUUUUAUUUUUAUUAUUUAAUUUUUCUAUAUGUUAGAUUUGAGUUAAUCGAUGGUACUUUAACUUUAAAAUUUGAAUGUGUCGCUUAACUUAUAUUUAGUUAGUAUAUUUUAUGUAAUUUUCGUAAUUAAAUUUAUUAAAAUAAAAAAUUAACUUAAUUAUAGUAUUUUUAAUUUUUUAUUAUAUUAUUUAUAUCUAAAUAAUUCUAAAAUUAAAAUUUAUAUUUAAUACAUACAAUCUAAAAUAUUUAAAAUUUAGGCAUAAAUAAUUAUAUAUUUUAAAUUUUUAUAAUAAAAAAAUUAAUAAAAUUUUAAAAAAAUUUUAAAAUUCUCUUCUCUAUAUGUAAAGAGAGAGAAGCGAGGAAAAAAAAAAAACUCUUGCCCAGCCCCUUUCCCCACGCUCCCCCGAGCGCGCCGCACCCACGCCGCGCCCUCGCCUGCGUCCCGCGCCGGCUCCCGCUCGCAGCCGCCCCCGCGCCCGCCCUGCGGUCCCGCCCCCUCGCUUUCGCGCGAGGUGGCGCAAUAGGAAAACUUUGAUUCCCAAAUUCAUAACUGUCUAAAUAAAUGUUAUGUUAUGGUAUGUUAUGGUACAUGAAUUUAAUGACAUGGGACGUCUCGUGCCCCAUCCCACCCCUGGGCAAAAAUUUUAUGACACCAUAUCCAAAAUUCUUUUUUGGGGAUCAUCUUGGAUGGGUGCCGUGUGGCACCCGAGCCACCUGGGCCACCGUCCCCGCUACUCUGCCUCUUGGGAGAGCAGUAGAUUUUUUCAGUGCACCCGGUGCACAAUUUUUUACUUUAAAAUUUUAAUUUUAAUUUUAAUUUUAAUUUAAUAUAAUAGAUAGAUAUUUUAUGAUGUUUAAAAAAUAUAUACAAAAGAAUUUUGAAUCCUACAUUCUAAAUUAUUUUACAUAUAUUUUUAAAAUAUCAUAAUAUAUAUUAUUAAAUUAUAAUUAAAAAACAAAAAAUAAAAUUUUAAAACGAAACUAGUGUCCAUAUAUAUAUAGUAUGAAUUAUACUAUAUAUAUCAAAUUAUAAUUUAAAAGUAAAAAAAAAUAAAACAAAAAAUAGUGCACCAUGUGCACCCAAAAAAAUCCGCCUGCUCCAUGGUGCCACGCGUCGCCAAUAGGGGGUGUUCCCAAAUUGGUUUUUAUGGACACAGUGUCCAUAAAAUUUUUGCCCCUUCUUAAUUGGUCAUAGUUGGUCAGUGCAGCUAAUUACUUCAUCAUCACUGUUUAUUAUUAUUAUUAUGAUGGUACAUGAAUUUAAUGACAUGGAACGUCUCGUCAAGGAAAGCUACAUUUUUGUUUUGGACCCCCAAGCUGUCGGAGCCCUGUCGUACGCAGAUGCAAAUCCAAAGCGCGUGGCGGUGGUAUAAACAGAAAAAAGUAAAAAAAAAAUAAAAAUCAAUUUUCAAUUUGCAUUGCUGCUGUCUAACGCAUUUUUUUACUUUAUUAUUUUAUAAUUUUAAAAAAAUCCAUAAAUAUAUAUUAAAAUAAUUUUUUUCUUAAAAAAACUAUAUAAUAGUAUCUUAUUUAAGAAUAAUUUUUUACAACAAAAUAAAAAUAACAUUAUAAAAUAAUUUAAUAUAAUUUUUUGAUCCAAUAAAUGACAAAGGAAAAUUUCAAACCAUAUUGCGGUAAAGUUAAAAUUAUGCUAAUAGUGAAGUAAAUUAUAGUUUACCCAAAAAAAAAAAAUCCAAUCAACAAAAAUAAAAUAAUUUUCCUAUUAAAAUAGUAUUUUUUAAAAAAAUAUUUUUAUAUAUUUCUAUGGAGAAUAUAAAUAUUCCUUGGUGAUAAUUGUUAUUUCAAUAUAAUUAUUAAAUAAUUAUAAGAAAAAAAAAAAAAAACUCCUUAGCAGCAGUGCACGCGUACUGUAUAACCGCAAGCAGGUGCGCCGAGUACGUGCCGGAGCUAUUACAGUGAACUAUCUGGGUUGAUCCAACCGCAGCAGGAGGACAAUAGGUUCCAGGCGCAAGACGUCCCCGCGCUGUCCAAGGGACAUGCAAAUUAACUUUGUCCAAUAUUUAAUUGGAGUUUGAUACGGAAAUUAUUCUCUCUUUUUCAGGCAAUUAAUUAAAGAAUAUUGAUUGAUGGAGGUAUCGGUGGCAUAUUUUGGGUCUGGGGAUCACUUGUUGGGACUCGGAUGGUUUCAAUAGUGGUCCAUAGUUAUUAAAUUAUGAGAUGAUUGUUGUAAUUCACAAGAUAAAAAAAAAUAAUUAUUAAAUUUUAAAUUUUAUAAAUUAUUGUACAAGUUGCUUGUAAGAAUAAUAUUAUCUUUAUUUAAAUUGUAGAACGCAGCGGAAAUAUUCGUUUAUAUCUUUUUCGCAAGUGACUCGCGUUAGAACACGAUAAAUCCUGAAUCGUAGAAGUUGAUUCAUGUAUCCUUGGUUCGUCCACGAAGGUUUCUAACACUCCAAAUCUACAGUAGAUCGAGCUACGAACAAACUAGGUCUAUAAUCCACCGUUCAAAACUCUCUAGAAGCAAUAGGUUAAUAGAGAAUGUGAUUUCUCUCUUACACAAGAUGCCUCAUGAAUUAUUCAUGAAUUUUAGCAUAUAUUUUUUUCUUUUUUUAAAUGAGAGAAUCGCGUGUAUAUUUAUAAGAGAUUCCAACAUCCUAAUAGGCAAGUAAAAGAUUACGUCGAACCUGUUUAUGAUUGCUAUCCUAAUAUGGCUAGAAUGUAUUUCUAAUUAGCUUAUCAAAUUAAAAGCGCGAUUAAAUUUAGUCCAAUUAAACAACAUAAUAACCGUUGGAUCGAGCUCGAUAAUAAGCAUACCUGAUUUGGUUUAACCAAAUGCCAACAUUUUCCAGUCGCAUAUAACGGUAUCGAUAUCAUUAUAAUUGUUAGAAAAUUGCGUACGGUAAAAACGCAGCGGAAAAGGAAAUCAAACAAAUUUGAUUUUGAAAACUCUCGAGAUCCAAUCUCAAAAACCACGUAAUUAGGAUUCCUCAUGGUCUUUAAAAUUAAAGGAGAAAAGUAAGAUCAAAUCUUUACCUUUUUUGUGGAUAGAUCUUCAUUUCAAUUUGAUGAUCGUGGAAUAGGGUUCUCUUGAAUCCGCACACGCGUCUGGCCUCUAUAGAUAUCCACACAAGGUUCUUAAUUUGAUCGAUGUCCUCACCGAGGUGCUAGCUCCCUUGCAAAAGGACGUCUAUUUGCUAGAAGAUGGAAGAGAAAGGAGAAGAGAGAUGACGGCUUGGAUUUUCCAAAAACUUCCGUAUUAUUAUAUAGAGGAAUAUAAUCCUUUUUUUUUAAUAAUAGAAUAACCAUUAAGGAUAACUACAAAUCUAGAUUUAAAUUUAUCAUUUCCUUAAUUGGUUAGAUCGAUCAAAUCCUAAUUUGAUUCGACUUGAAUUUUAUAUUAAUUUGAUCAUAUCAAAUUAAUAAUGCAAUAUUUGCACACAAGUCCUCUUAUAUUUUACUAACUAUUAGUAAGUCCUCUCUUAUAACAUUUAUACUUUAAUACCACUUAUUUGUAACAAUUAUAAAUUAAUACAAUUAUCAACAUAUUGACAAUUAGGUCCUCCAUCGAUUCAAUAAUCGCGAUCUAGCUAUCCGAUCAAUCACAACCUCUUAUGUGUGUGACCCCAUAGGUUCUACUCUGUUUGAUAGUGAGAUAUAUUUUGAUCACUAUCAACAAUAUCACUGAAACUCCUUUCAGUGGAUCAGAACAAUUCCAACUCAGCCCAAUGAGAAUUAUCGAUCAUCUAGAUAAUUCUCAUGAGUCUCACAAUCUACUAGUGACGCCUAGCAGCAUGUAGUGGAAUUCCAGUAGAAUGGAAUACUGAACCUCUUGGUGCAGUUACCGUGUGAUACAAUUCUUCUAUCAUGAGUCCCGACUAGACGGAGGUUAUGGAAUAACUCGUCAAACCCCAUCGUCUGUCAUAUGUUAAAUUUAUUCGACUCGAGUUUCUAAUAUCGGAAACCCUUUUUCGCUAUUAACACUGCCCAAGCCAAGGUCUUCUAAACUCGGUCUCAUAAAUCACACAGGACUAACACCCCUAUCUACCAAGGGAGAUAGAUUCCAUCUAAGUGCGCACCCUAUUUCUACAAUGAACCUACUGCAGCCAACAUGCACCGCAAGGACCCGAAUGACUAGGGACCAAGUGUAUGUACAGUCAAACUACAGUAACCUCAUUGUGAAUAGCCGAGGCACAGCAGGUCAAAGGACCAGUCACACUACUGCAAUAUUGAGUAAGGCACUGACGAAUGAGUAGACAUCCAAGUGACUUCUCGCAUUAGUCACGCUCGGUACCCUUGUUCUCUAACAACCACCUGCAUAUUUGCUUCAGUGUCCCCACACUGUCGACUCGAGACCCGUCUACCCAAAAAGGGAAGCGACCUAUGCACCAAUCUCAUCGGAUCAAUUACCGUCCCCGUGAUGAUCCAUUGAUCGGGAGCAUUUAGGAAUUAAUCACCAAUGACACAUGUCUCAAAUUCUCAACUCUUGAGAAUGUAUGUAACCAUUUUAUUAAUUUCUUAGACGAUUCAUGGACACAUACACAACAUGAAUGGAAAUAAGAAUCCAAAUUAUUCAUAAUAUUUUAAAGUAAAAUACAAAUUUAUGUUCUAGAAUAAAUAUAUAUGUCGGCCUAGUUGGCUUCUAGGGCAUACAUCUAACAAUAACCACUUUCUCAAUUACACCAUUAUUGAUUCCAUUCAUAUAGAGUAAUGAACAGUGCGACCACCAAGUCAGCCUACAUUUUUGGAGCUCUACACUAGAAACCACAUAAGGCCAACAUAGAGACAUUAACCCUAAGAAAUAGUAGACUCAUGAUGCCCUAAACUAUUGGAUUAUCUUAGGUUUAGCAUAUCUAAUCUCUUAAAGAGCCAUACUAAUCUCUGUUGUGCAUAUUAUGAUACUAUACUCAUAAUCACCUUGCUAUAUUGAAUACAACUUGUUGACAAUGAGUCAAAGUGUCUUAAUAUAAUCCAACUAGUUUUCCUUAAACCCCCAUGCCACUAAGUUAAGAAUUGAUUACUUUCCCAGCAAUGCCCCAUAAAGCCGCAUCACUCAUAGCUGUAGGAAAAACGUCAAAAUAGCAACAUCAAUUAUUUUACUUAAUGACAUAGUCAGAUGUCACUAAGGACAUCUAACAUAUAUAGGACAUAGCCUCAAAAUGAUGUUCAAAAAAACUCACACAAUGAGGAAGUAGGGGAUCCAUUCACUCGUUUUCUUCAUUUGGUCGCCUAAGCAUGUGUGUAUGAAAUAUAUACUAUGACAGGGGAUCUCAAUAAGCGCUGUCUUUCUCAAUGCCAUACGAAUCUUUGCUCAGGCACUCCCGGAGUGUCUAGCUUGAGUUCUUCAUUUACUCGCUAUCUCAAACGCUAAACAAUGAGCUCACAUUCGGCUCUAAAUGUACAAGCCAUACGAAUCAUGGGACUAUCCAUAUGCGGUAUCGCUUAUGAUCUCAUCUUGGUGCCAACCAAGGCGGCUAUCAUUAAUGCCUCUUUUUUUGAUUGCUCUCUACAACGCUGAAAAGAAUGAUUGCCCGUGUGAAAGGGCCAAUCAGCCUAUGACAUUGUCAUGCCUCGGAUUAUAGCGGAAACUUGGCUUACGUCAAUGGACCCGCCGCAUGUACAAGGAUACACCUUAUAUACACAAAACGUCAAAAAACCUGUCCAAAUAAGUUACUGAAAUCUAACAACAAUAGUUAUUAGAGUAGAAUACAAACUAUGUAUUGUAGCAACACUGUAGAUAUAUAAUUAUCACCACACCAAUCCACAAAAUGGUACAACAUCUUUGGCUACUCCAAACCUCAAAACAUAGUAUAGACUACUAUAUCCACUGAUAAGUGGUCCAACUACAUACACAAAAAGGGUAGGAAAUACUAACUAUCCACGAUCCCCCUAUCUCGAUUAAUCACUGGUGCUGAAAGAUCUGUCAUAAAAUAUUAAUAAAGAGGGUAUGCGAACUAUAAUCAGUAGUCCCCAAUGGAUAUGGUUGACAAAGCCGGUGGUCUACACCAUUAGGUCCAUAAGAGGUUGAUAUAGUAGUAUGAAUGAACAUGUAUUAAUAUAAAUAACUGCUAAAAAUAACUGCUGAAAAUAACUGCUACUAUCAUUGCUCUACAAUAAUAGUAGCAGUUGCUCCACAUGCUAAGAACAGGUAGUUCUCACACACUUUUGUGGUUUACUUUUUAAGGGUACACAUACCGACAGUUGAUCGUGGUAAAGAGGAUCGUGCAGUACAUAGCAUCUCCUACCAGUUUGCCUAUACAUUAGAAGACCACCAGAUAGUGUUACUUUGUAUUACUUGCCUGUAUUGGCGAGGGCCAGGGCCUUGUACAUGUACUUUUCUUUUGGGGUUAAGUUUUAUUUCAUGAAGUACAUGAUGUAUAGCAGUUUAGUUUGUAGAUAGUGCUCUGAUACAUAUCGUUUGUUUAUUUCAUGCUUUAUUUUGGAUCUUGAGAUGUGAAAACUUUUCCGUUUGAUCUCCUGGAUUACUUUGCCUUGUUCUUUUGUGUUGCCGCUUCGUUCGGACAGAGGAAACUCUAUUCAUUCAGCGGAUCUGUUGACGCCUCUGUGGGCUUCCGCUGUGGACUCGGGACGUGACAGUGGGUAACCCUAAAAAUCAUGAUAAUUUAGGGUGCGAUUAAGAUGUAAGUUGUUACCUCCUAGAAGUGUCAUUUGAGAGAUGCCAAUCACCCUUAACUCCCUAUCAUAUGUUGGGAGAUGCUAUUCACCCUUGACUCCCUGCAACGUAUUGGAGAUGCCAAUCUCCCUCGACUCCAAGUACAUACCGAUUGGAGAGAUGUUGAUUGCCCUCGACUCUCCAUGAGGUGUUUGGAGAGUACGAACCAAAUGUUUGAUAUUAUGAGAUAGUUGGGUAAACAUACAGACCUAUGUCAUAGAACCUGAUUGUGACAUAUUGUUUAUAUUUGAGGCAUAAUAGUUGUACUUUUCUUUUAGCAUUUCUAUUAUGAAAAUAGAUAUUUUAUUUACUAUUAUUAUUUUACUAAUGCCUUCUUUAAAUUUAGCGCAUAGCGUUACUUUUGGUAGUUGCACCCACUGGGAACUUAUUUUAUGUUCUCACCCUAUUGUGGUUGUUAUUUUUCAUAGCCAUCUACCGCCAUUGAGGCGUGGGAGUGCCGUAAGGACGUUGUUCGAGUUAGCUAGAUCAGCAUGAGUUGGUUUAGAGUGCAUAGACAAGAAAAAUUAUAAUAUUUUGGAAAGAUUAAAUAUUGUAAACUUGUUAAGAGUUAAAUUGUCACGUCUCGCUAUCGCCAAUUUGGUCGAUCCGGGCCCGCGCACAGACGCCGAACGAACAGCACCUCCUCUGUUCGCCCAAGGCUCAACAACAACGAGUACAUGUAUAAAGAAAUAAAUAAUUCCCAGGAUCACAUUUCAAUAUACAUGGCUUGCACGAAGGCAAGCAACAAACACAAGUGAUAGUAAAGCUAGCUAAACAUGAAAUUUCACUGUAAUUUAAAACUUUACAUAGCUGAACUUUAUAACUGAAACAUUUAGUUAUAUACAUGCUUUUAUACAUUCAUUUACAUGUCUCUGUACAUAAAUAGGAUAUAAUGAACCAACAUGGUAACUGCUAAAACUUCUGGUGUCAGCUAACUAAGCUGCAGGGCCCUUGCCACGAUCCUCGCCGAAACUCGCACUGAGACCUGUAUGGUUAGUGGUGGUAGAACUACAAAUAAGUUCCCAGUGGGUUCGGCUGGCCGACACUCGGCCGUCACCCACUAGGUCUACUCAGGCAUAUGUAGGCAAAGAAAAGUAAGCAGAUAGUACACCAACUAUAACAUGUAACUACCUACAAUGCCGUAUCAAAGCGGAGAAGUAAGUAAUACGAAAACUGUAAAGAUGCAUGCAUGCGUUUUUCAUUAACUUUACCCAAUCUUUUAGUUAACCCUCUGGUUAACAGCUGAACAAGUACGUUAGUCCUGGGGCAAGUACGUCUAGCCACUAAAUUUACCCAAUUCAGUGGUUAACCCUUUGUUAACAAUACUCACCAACGAAAUCCCUCACGGCCCUAAGCUGCCUCCCGAUGGGACCGUCUGUCGGACAAGUACGUUAGUCCUGGGGCAAGUACAUUAGCCCAACAAGUGACUACUCCGGAGCUCACUGCCUGGGGGGAGCGACCACCACCAAGCUAAGAAACAGACUAUGUGAGUAAGAUCUGAUCCUCCUUCAGAGGAUUCACAACAACUGACAAUGCCACAAGUAACUCUGACUAGUUCUUUAUGCUAGUUUCACAAUUCCAUUUUUUGAUGCUAACUAAAUCUCUAGUUAGAAUGUCACCGAAUUUACUAUUAUCAUAGUCCACAGUAAAAUUCACACAUUUAUAGGGUUCUAUGUUCAUAUUCUAUGGCCCACAUGUUCUUUACAUUAACAUAAAUUCAAUUGCACAAUAACACUUUUCCCUAUAAUGCAUGAAUAUGAUACAAUUCACAUAAAUAGAUAUGCUCAAUAGAAUAGCAUAGACAUAAAGAGAGAUUCGAUGACUUCGGAUAGCACCACCCACCUGUAGUGGUGUUAAUCAACUAGAAUCCACGUUUCAGAAAGCGUCGACGACUAUCUCUCGCGACUCCGUGCAAAUAGAACUAGAACGGCCGCUACCGUAAUUAGCGCGUCGUCGACCUGUCGGAAAGUCAAUUUAGACUCUUGGGCAUGUUUACUUUUUACUUAUAAAGGAUUAGAAAAGGUUAAACUAGAGUCAAUACUCAUAUUUUACAAAUUAGCAUUUCAAUGCUAUAUAAAACGGCAACUAUAGCCGAAAAACUUCUUUUGGCGAUAUCUUUGCGUAGGUUCGUCGGAUUGCCGAACCGACUUCGCCAACGCGUUUCUUUUACCCUCAAUUUGGUUUACACGCGGUCAAUUUCGCAUUAGGACUCUUACUUUGCAAAAGUGCAUUGCCGGGGUCAAUUUCUAUAAAAACCCCGUUUUUAUCGAAAUCCUAACUUAUUUUCGAUCUCUCUCUUUCUUAAUUCUUUCUUUUCUCUCUGGCUUUCUUUCUUUUCUUCCUUUCUUUCUUUUCUUCUUUUCUUUCUUUUCUUUUCUUCCUUUCUUUCUUUUCUUCCUUUCUUUCUUUCUUUUCUUUCUUUUCUUUCCUGCUGUUGCUGCGCAUGCUGCUGCUGCUGCUAAGCUGCUGCUGCUAGCUGCUGAGGCUGUUGCUGCUGCUGCUGCUGCUGCUAGCUGCUGCUGAGGUUGCUGCUGCUGCUGAGGCUGCUGCUGCUGUGCUGCUGCUGCUGCUGAUGGCUGCUGCAGCUGCUGUUGCUGCUGCUGCUGCUGCUGCUCAGCAGCUGGCUGAGCAGCUACUGCAGCAGCUGCUGCUGCAGCAGCUUGCUGCUGCUGCUGCUGAUCCAGCAGCUGCUGCUGCUCGCUGCUCUAGCAGCAGCUGCUGAUGCUACUGCUGCUGCUUCAGCAGCAGCUUGCUGCUGCUGUUCCUGCUCACAGCAGCAGCAAGGGCUGCUGCUGCUGCUGUUACUACAGAGAGAGAGGGAUGAGAGGGAGAGAGGUAAAACCUACCUCUUUUCUUCUUCUUCUAUUUCUUCUUCUUCUUCUCUUUUCUUCUCCUUUCUCUUCUUUUCUUUUCUCUUCUUUUCUCCUUCUCUCUCUCUACGUAUGGCAGCAAGGAGAGGGGAUAAGGAUGGAGGGGGGGGCUGCCUGGCAGGUUUAGUGGAAAUCGACUAAGGCAUAGGUUAAUUACCAUAAUGCCCCUCGACUUAUCCGUUUAGCCGCGCGGAUUAAAUACCUUUCGUAAGCCCUUCCGAAAGUUCGAUUGAGCUCAAAUUUGACAGACAUGUUCGUUUUUACUUAACAAGUCCACNGUGACACCCCAAUAGUCCCACAUCGGAUGGGAAUGGGGUUAUCAUUGGGUUUAUAAGAGACUUAGACACUAGUAAUAAUAACUGGGCUUAAGCAUUUUGGGCCGGUUGUUGGGCCCAACGAGUUAUUAUUGCUAGUGGGCUGGGUCGUUACACAAAACAAGGAUCAAAGGAUAAAAUCAAGUACUAACCUUUCUAGGUGCCUCAAAACAAGCUCCAAAUCUUCUAGGGUUGAAGAUUGGUCCACCACCAAGCCCUACAAGCAAGCUCCAAGCCUUGCAAGAGUGGAAAGAAGAGAAAAGGGGUUGAGCUCCAAGCUCCCUCAGGCAAGCUCCUCUUCUUCUUCUCCUCCUUCUUCUUCUUCUCUCUCUAGAAAGUGUAGGGAGAGGGUGAGAAAUGAGGAGGGAAGAGAGUGAAAGGGUCAUAUAGACCAUUUAGAGCAACAAAAUCCAGAGAGGCCCCUCAAAAAUUCAAAUUUGCAUCAGCCCGGACUGGGCAGUUUUUGCCCAGAGGGACCGGUCUCUCCUUGCAAGGGACCAGUCUCUCGUGUCGAACCCGAGAAACCAACGUUCGGGAACCGGUCUCUCCCCGCGCGGGACCGGUCUCUCACUGCGUAGACGCGCUCGGGGACCGGUCUCGCCCGCCAGGGACUGGUUGCCUCGCCGGCUGCGCAACACUGUUCACUGGAGGACCGGUCUCUCCUAGCAGGGACCGGUCUCCGAGAGUGAAAACUCUCAGGACUCGUCCAGAACUCAGGUUUUCAAACUUUUUGGAUCGAAAAACAUUCUACGACCCUCCACCAAGUGUGGAAAAGCUUGAAAUACAUCCAAUCACUCGAACCUCGCAAUUUGCAAAGGUCCAGUGUGUUACAAGUUCUCACCCCACUAUUCCAGAGUCGGGACCGAGCGAGCCGACGAGCGAUCGGGGUAAAGGUAUCGCACCAUAGUCAGAGGCCACCAGAGUCGGGUUAUUUCAUAUUUUGUUAGUUUACCCUUUUAUCAUCUUUUGUAUUUGAUGAUUUAAGAUGUUAAUGUAUAAAGCGAAGAAAGAAAAGAAUGUAAUGUUUAUUUUAAGCCAAUGUGAUGUAAAAGAAAUGAUGCAAGCAAUAUAAAGAAUCAUGAAUGUACAACUUGGAUGAAGUGGAUGCAUGUAUGUGAUCAAAAGUUGAAUUAUAAUACUUGUGUAGAUGUUUAGUUCCCUUUCUUUCACUCAUGGCUAUUGCUUAUCCUCGUGUAAGCCGUUUGUGUAUAUUUCUGCUAGUGCACUUCAUUUUUUGAAAAUGUACAUAUGAUGAGCCUUGGGCGGACAGGAGAAACUCUGUCCGUUCGGCGUUUGUUUGACGUGCUCGGGCCGGCCCAAAUUGGUAUCGGUCGCGGGGCGUGACAUCUAAAGUGUCAUAUUUGAGUAUAUGUAUGUAUUGACCAUAUUGUAUAGUAGGGUUACUUGUGAGCUUCUCAUUGCAUAUUGUGAGUUCAAAUGCAUGAGAAAUACUAGUAAGAAAGUGAGAAUUUAUAAACUCUAUGCAUGCAUGAUAAAUGAUGAGAACUUAGUAGACCUAACUUAGUAGACCUAGAAAACAAAUGUGACAUGUGGACAUGAAUGUAGAGAGUGGCAUUGUUGAGUCAAGAAUGCUAGAAUUGAACACUUAGAGAACAUGUGUGGCAUGUGUGUGCGAGUACAAAGUAGUAUAUAUGACACUAGCGAAAGUAAAGAAUGCAAGUAAAGGAGUGAUUGUGACAUUAUGAUAUAACAACCUUCGAGUUAAGGGUCAUAUGUAGAUUGUUUCCUUAUAGUUAUGGAUUGAACUUGACAUCUUUAUCGUUAUGGAUUGGAUCAUACUCACCUGUAAGUCCUUACUCGAGGGCGGUAGCUUCCCCUCGGGCGAUGUGCUCCGGAGUUGUCAUUACUGAAAAGUGGAAUCUCUAGAGGACGGUCCUAUCGGGCGUAGUAGUCUCCCCGAUACUUGAGAUUUGAGUUGGUGAGUCUAUUGAGGGCGAAACCCACGGGCUAGCCUAGAGAUUGGGAAUCGAAAAUGUGACCUUGCAUUCAUCAUGAGUAUUCUAUCGAGCAUCGCAUUCUUUAUUGUUUAGGCAUAUUAGCUGCAUUUGUUUAGUUGGUUACUAUCUGUCUGUUCUUCUAUUAUGCCUGAUUUAGAUCUAGUGGGAAAGUCGGCGUGGUUGGUUGCCGAACCUACUGGGAACUUUGUUGUAGUUCUCACACCCCACCUUCCACAGAGUCAGGACCGAGCGAGCCGUCAUACGACCGCGGUAAAGGGAUCACGCCCUAGAUAGAGACCACCCGAGAUGGUUUCAUAUUUUGUAGUUGCAUUUCCUUUAGUAUCAUCUUUUGUAUUUGAUGAUUCUAGAUGCUUAAGAGAAUGAUGUAAAAGAUAUUUAUUUCCAAUGUCAAAGGUUGUAUUUUGGAGAAUGAGAUGUAAAAAGAUAUGAUGAAAAAGAAUGUAAAAGGACUUGAUGAAAGUAGUAUGCAUAUAUAUGAUUUAAAGUUAAUUAUUGUACUUGUAUGUUGAGUAGUUAGAUCUUUCAUUUUGGCUAUUGCUUGCCCUCGUGCAAGCCAUUAUGUUUGCUUCCGUAUGUGUAAUUUUUAUACCCUAUUUGUACUUGUUGUUGAGUCUUUGGUGGACAGGGGAGGUGUUGUCCGUUUGGUGUCUGUUCGACGGGUCCGAUCCGGCCAAAUAGGACCGAGUUCGGGGCGUGACAGAUAUAAUGGUAUCAGAGAGUAAAGUGCCUAAAGUGAAAGUAUAGGAUAGACCUAGAGACUUUUAGUGUAAGGAAGUGAAUUCUCAAAAUUCGAGAGUUGGACUUCGCUCAAAAUCGAUUAUUUGUCGAGUGGGUAUGCUUCGAAAAGCCGAAGAAGUCGAAAACCCGAAAAAUGCAUUGCAACAGAUCCACGAGAGCAAGUUGUGCAAAAGUCUGCACUUGGCAGAUUUUGCUCUCGGGGACCGGCCCCUGGUGGGAGAGACCGGUCCCCGUAAGUUGAAGCUGCGAUAGAAAAUCUCUGCUCACAAGUUUUGCUCUCGGGGACCGGUCCCUACCAGGAGGGAUCGGUCCCCAUAAGCGUUGUGAGCGGCAUAGAAGGUCUGCGCGCAAAGAUUGCUCUCGAGGUCCGCCGGUCCCUCAAGUGGGGAUCGCUCCUUGAAGGUCCGGUCCCUUAGGCGAGGACCGGUCCCUGUACGCGUAGAAACUGGCUGAGAGCCUCUGCCCGCAAGAAAGGCUCUCGGGGACGGGUCCCUCUAGGGACAGACCGGUCCUCGAGGGACAGACCGGUCCCCGAGCACGAAAAUUGCCCAGUCUGGGCAGUGUGAAAGAAGCAAAAUUGAGGGGCUUGGAUGUAAUUAUUGCAUUAGUUAGGGGUAUAGAGGGGAGAUCACCCCCUCUCCCUCCCAACCCUCUCUCCCUCUCUCUCUCUAAGCUCUCUCUCCCUCUCUCUUGAAGUGAAGAAGGAGAAGAAGGGAAAGAAGGAGAGAAAGAAGGAGAAGAAGGAGAAGCAAGCUAGAGAAGGCCUUGGUCUUCUUCUUCUUCUUCCUCUCACCAUUGGAGCAAGCUUAAGAGGUAAACUUCUAAGCCCUACAAUGGUAGAAACCUAUGGUUUGGAUUUCUUGCUCUAGAAAUGGUUUGAUUAGAACUCUAGCAUGCUUCAUAGAGGUUUAAAGCUUAAAUCUAGAGUUUGAUUGGGAUAGUUUGCUAUAGAGAUGCAAACCCAGGGCUCCAAAUUGAGGUUUUGCUUAAUAGUGAGGUUUGAUCUCAAUUGUUGGCAUCUAAACCUAAUUGCUAGGUGCCUAAACGCGUUGGCGAAGACGGAUUGAGCAUUCGUCGAGUCGUUGAAAAGUUAUCAGCAAAACAAGACCGAUUGGGCUUCGUUUCCGCCUUGGAGGCCGAGACGGCAUCGAAGCAACUGCCGAAUAGCGUUCUUAGCGCCCCGACAUCGUCGAAAGGUGGGUGGUGUCAUCCCGAAGCAACCGGGUUCCUCUCUAUGUCUUAGUAUACCAUGAUUUCGCAUCUCUUGCAUGUUGCAUUGUAUUCCAUCCCUUAUGCUUUCUAAUUGAUAUCAUAGUGUGAGUUGAAUACUCGGUAUUAUGGAUAGAUGAGGAUUGGGUCUUGACGUUGAAUUCUAUAGUGCCGAGGAAAAGAGAUGGACUCGAUAGUUUCCUAAUGACAUAAUGAGUGGCAUGUGAUUGACAAAUGAACAGAACGAGUGGCAUAUAAUGUAGUGUACAAUGACACUAGUGACAUAUGAACUUAGAGAUAGGUGGACUCCCUAGUGAUGACUCAUUGAACAAAGAACAUAGUGUAGUUAAACAUUUACACAUGGACAUUGGGAUAGGUGGAUUCCUGAGUGACUACUAGCCCUAGUUGAUAGGGUAUCCUCGAGUUGAGAGGAUGGAUCAUACUCACAGUCUGUUUAUACUUGUGGUGGUCGCGCCACACAAGUCGUCGUGCACUCCGGAGUUUGGCGCGAGAGGGGCAGAGUUGAUGUCCCUCAGACGGUCCCUGGUUUGAGAGCGAGGUGAGUCUCUUUACCAUACGGGAUGGCGAGGUGAGUCGAAGGCGAACCCAAGGGAUCGCCAAGGAUUGGAUAAACAAGAGAAUAUCACUGUCAUUGAACAUUUGCUUAUUGGACAUUGUAGUGGACAUAGUGGCAUGUUAGUAAACCAUUUACUAUAUGAUGCAUGCAUGCAUUACCUGUGAUUGGGCAUAGUAGCAUAGUGUUCUUACUAUGGCAUUUACCGUUUUCUUAUCUAUCUAUCUAUCUAUCUGCUUUUACCCACUCGGACCUAGUGGGGAGAUCGACGGAGUCGGCGGCCGAACCUACUGGGAACUAUGGACAAUAGUUCUCACCCCACUUUGUUGCAGGACCUAGUUCGAGCGGCCCGUGCGAGGACCGCGGCAAGGGUAUAGCGCCCGAGCAGUAGUAUAGUAGCUUUCCUUUUGCAUUUGCAUACCCUAUGUAUUUGAGAGACUUAUGUAGGUGAGGAUUUGGAGAGCUAUGUAUGUAUUUUGAUGAUGGCCUAGUAGCAAUUGUAUCCAUUUUGGAAAGAUGUAAUGUAAUUGAGGUAAAGGAAUGCAAUGUGGUGUAAUAGCUAGUAAAUCUCUCUUUUGUUCACUUGUAUGCAUAUGUGACUCUUGCUCUUAGUUGUUGGCACUUGUUGUGCCCUUCGUUGAUUGUGUAUGUAUAGAAUUUCUAUUCCUGGGCAAAUUCUUAUACACGAUCUGGUUGUUUGGCCUUGGGCUGACAGGGGAGGUGCUGUCCGUUCGGCGUCUGUUCAACACGCCCGAACUGGACCAAAUUGGUAGCGGUCUCUAGGCGUGACACUUAGGAAUGAAAAACCUUAAGGAUCUAGGAGACGUGAGUGACAUGGAAUUAAAAUAUAGUGAAAGCUUAUGAUUGAGUUAAUGUUAGCAUGUCUCUAAUGUGGUCAGGGACUAAAUUUAAGUUGUUAUUUGUUUUUUUUUUCUUGUGUUGUGAUCGGCGGCUGACGACAUGAUGCUUGGGAUGAAAAUAAAUACACUUGUUUGCUUUCGCUGGAUUGGGUAAAUUCGAGUAUGUUGGUUAAGUAUCUAAUGUAAUUGCUUCAUUUCAGGAAGCAAUGCUGCCUCGUGGACGACCUAAGACUCCUCGUGGUCGACCUCAGAAAUGAUCCAUGGCUGAAGAACCGAGUGCGGCUCCCGUGCAACCCGGAGGGGGUGGCGACGGGGAGCUUCGGGAGCAGAUGGCCGCGCUUAUUGGCGUAGUGCGGCAACAAGCGGAGUCCGUUCAGUGCCAAGGGGAGCAAAUCCAAAGGCUCCAGGACGCCUUAGAGCGGCAGCAGACGGCGGCGGCACAAGUGGAGGCCGAGCAUCCUGUGCCCCCUGCAGUGGUGCCGAUGGUGGCCGAGAGAGUAGCGGCGGGGGUGGCCGCGGCGGCCAUUCCAGUUACGACAAUACCGGCCGGAUCGGGGACCUCAAACUCCAAUAGUGCGGCGGUGGAGGCGGAGCGGGAGCAUGCGUUAGCAGCUCUCAUAUAGUUUAAUAAGUUCAACCUACCUAUCUUCGAAGGGGGGGUGGUGGAACCGGCGGUGGUGGAGUCAUGGAUCGACUCCAUGGAGACGCUCUUCGAGGACUUGUAUAUCUUGGAGAAGGACAAGGUGUACCUCGCCACACAUUGCCUUGAGAAGGCGGCGAAGGUGUGAUGGAAGCGAGUUAAGCGGGAUGGGUCUCCCGAUCUUCCGCCUAUGAUGUGGGAGGAGUUCAAGAGGGCGGAGGGCGGUGUUCGCCAAUUACUUCCCCGACACUGUGAAGCGGAAGUUGCAAGAAAAAUUUCGAAAGUUGAGGGAGGGAGAUCUGUUACGCCCCGGGGUCCCUUUGGGUUUGAAAGUACAGCGGAAGUAACUGAAAAUUUUUUUGUUUGAAAACCUGACCCCAAGGUAUGCCAGAUCCGCCACAAAUACAGGGAAUCCACUGUUCACACGGACAGAGUCUCCCCUGUAUUUGCACGGCGUCACACAAGUACAAAAGUACAAACGGGAUACAACCACUAUCACUGAAUAUACAAAUAUCCGUUCAUUCAUACAUCCAUACACCAUUCACCAUAGGUUCAUAUACAGAUUUUGAAACUAUCAGUUGAAAUGUUUCCUACCCAGAAACCUAUUUUGAAAUACUAAGUCAAGAAAAAUCACGAGAAACUCUUUUGAAAGUUGUUUCCCACACGGAAACCUUUUCUUUUUAAAACACGCUACCACGAGGGGUAGAAAGCCUUUCUAUUUUACAAAAUUCCAAAAAAACUUUUAUUACAUUCAUGAAAACCCACAUAUUCAAAUAUAAUAAAAAUACUGAACCAUACAAACUGUCUAAGCUAUAACAACAGAAUAGUAAGGGUAGAAACUAAACCGAGUAACCUGGGUCGGAAGCUCUAUUGACCACUACGAACAUAUCUCACGUCUCGUCUCAAUCCUCACCGCCCGCAAUACCUGAAAAAAGGUGGGGAAGGUGAGAACAUGUAAACAUGUCUCCCCUCCCAGUGGGUACCGCAAGCCAACGAAGGCGAGGAGUACUCACCGGAUUAAGAAUAGAUAAACAAUAACAAGGGCAGAUAUACUAAAUACAGUAGCAACAAUAAUACAUGAACGGAAUGUAUAAGAACGACUACCGCUACUGUAAAGAAGAACAUAAAGCAUACAUGGGUAUCAAACUAUAGUAGCAAGAUAAGUAUAUAGAAAGAACUGUAAGUAUGCAUGCAACAACUGCUAUUAUAGACAUAUGCGUCAACCGAACGUAUAGACCAAAUAUACCCAAUCUGUACCGGCCGUAUGGUACCCAACACCUCAGGCCCAUGCCACAUCUGCUCUAAACAGAAACAAGCCAUAUUGGUACCUAUUACCUCAGGCUGAAAGCAUAUAACCCCUCUUGGGCUCACGGGUUGACACUAGCAACCACUUUUUCGGAAAAGAACACCCUCUUGCGGUGGCAAAACUGCUGGUGUUCGUGAAAUGCGUACGAGCAGUAGCGAUCGAUGCUGAAUGCUCAAUAACCAACCGUCGGCAACCAGUCGACAAUCCUGCCCCUUAGGGCUCACCGACCGUAUAGGUCAUCAACUGUAAGGAAAUAUAAGAACCGACCACUCUGGUCAACUAGGAUGGAAUAACUCAACAUCCUCCCAAAAGUAUGCAAGUACUACUCAAUAUCAACUAACUGUAUACUCAAGAACUGACCAAUAGGUCACACGAAUGUCACAUCAUGUAUCACUAAAAUCCAGAACUACCGUCAGCCACUAGCCGACAAUCCAACCCCUUAGGGUACACCGACCUCAACGGUCAUCAAACGACAAAAGUCAAGGAACCAAAUGAAUAGGUCACAGAUACGAGAUACAAGAACCGACCAACUAGGUCACUGAUCUCACAUGAAAAUACGAAACCGCUCUACACUAAACAAGAUACAGGAUAUGCAAAAUAACUAAGUAGAGAAGCAAGGAAAUAUGAUGUAACUACUCUACUCCUACUUAUGAUACUAGAUAUGAAAAACAACCGAGUAGAGUAUAAACAAACAACAUGGGUGCUAGGCUCAACACUAUAUAUAAAGAUAUAUAUGCCAGAUAACAACGAGAGAGCAAGGGUAAGAAACCAUCACCGAGCGUGCACCACUGUACCGACUUCGGAUCGAAGUACCCACCUGUACGAAUGUUGCGCCUGUCUCCUUACUGCGAAAGAAAGUCAACUGGACCUACGGAGGGUCCAUCGGGUUAGUAUCUAACCCACAACUAAUAACCACAGUAUCCACAACCCUACAACAAUUCCACGGAGAUCGGUUUCCCAAUACCGAUUACCGUAACUUGCCGGAAGUCCCGAAAAUCGCACCGGGACUCCGUCGGGACCCCUGAAAUGUCCUGGAACGCACUGACUCGUGCUACGAGUCAUCCGCUGCCACAAAACACAUCAAAUAAGAUGUCUUGGCAGUAAACACAAAGAUACACAACCAAACAACUAUUGGUGGAUAAUUGUUCGGAUCUAAGUUCCUGAAAGUGUCAAUUUCGACACCGGAACCCCCCCGUCGCUCACUCGUCAUUUUCGAACCCUCGAAAUGAUGCGAGUGACCAGCCAACAAGGCUCAGCGACUAAACAAUCCAUCACGAAGCACCGUCGGAAUAAUUCCGAACCGAACCCGCGUUCCGUCGUCGGAUUUCGCCGAGAAACGAGCCGGAAAUCACUUUUCGAUUUUUGUAAAUGCAUGGGGCCUUGGACAAUCAGUCCAGAGGUUACCCACAGCCCGCACACGUUGCCAACAGCGACCACAACCAUCAAAAAUGCGUAAAACCACCAGGUUACCCAAAAUCACAUUAUUUUAUGUGAUUUCGGGGCUUUUAUGGUCCGACUACGCAAACCGAAAGUUAAUCAGCCAAGCCGAGACACCCACUGACAGGUCUCGGCGUGCUGGAGGCCGUGCUCACCUUUCGGAGCACUUUCGGCCACUGAGGCAACCGCGCGAGCGAUGCGAAGUUCAGCGAAAACUACGCGCUGAAACUAAAACACCUCUAACUCACACAUCCGGAGCUCAUUGACCCUAAAUGAGGUGAGCACUGUGACCAGCACUGGCUGACGAUCACCGUGCUCACCUCCAGAGGCAUCGGAACAGCCUCGGGUUGCUGGCAUUGCGGUCAGAAUCGUAAACAGUGCACAAAACAGCAUAAACAAGCUUACCGGUCGGGGGAAGCUAGGGCACGGCCAACGGCGGCCGGACGGCGAGCGCGCCGGCAGGGCGAGGGUACUGCAAGUGUGGGGUGGCAAGGGCGUGUGUCGGCCGGCGACGGGAGGUGGCCACGGCGGGGGGGCAAUGAUGCCCUAGCCGCAUUGCAAAGAAGAAGCUUGGCUCGGGUCCGGCUAGCAGGAGGGCUCCGGCGGCGGGGGCGCCGGCGGCAACCCGGCGCGGCAGGCCAGGGGAGGCCGGCGCUCAUGCCGGCCGACGGCGGGAGGCGGCCUCNAAAAUUAAAAUUUAUAAUUUGAAAUUUGAAAAUUAAAAUUUGAAGUUUAAAAUUUAAAAUUUAAAAUUUGAAGUUUAAAAUUUGAUAUUUGAAAUUUAAAAUUUAAAAUUUAAAAUUUGAAAUUUGAAAACUAAAAUUUAAAAUGAAAUUUGAAAUUUGAAAUUUGAAAUUUGAAAUUUGAAAUUUAAAAAUUAAAUUUGAAAAUUAAAAAUUGAGAAUUAAAAAUUGAAAUUAUAAAUUAGAAAAUUUAAAAUUAGAAAUUUAAGAUCCAAUGCGGCGUCCUCUGCGACUGUCCUUCCUGACGCGACCCUCUGGAACGCUAACGUCCCGAAGACCCACGACCCUGAGAGCGUGAUUGUGGAGGUCUUGGCGGACGCCUGCUGCUCGACUGUCCUCCGUCAUCUGGAUCUGGGCGCUUCCUAUCCUGACUCUGCCCUGACACCUGGGUCCGCUCCCGAAUAGAUGCAUCACCUCUCUCCACUCACAAAGCCUGCUCAAUAGAUGCAUUCAAGGUCCUCAACCUCUGCGCAAGUACCAACCUGAAGAUCUCUGGUCUCAAGUCUCGCUCAAACAGAUAUACCCUGUGGGCCUCGUCUCUGGCUACAAAUGGCACAUAGUUCAGGAGUCAAGUAAACUCAUGGAUGUACUCCUGAACUGCUCUCUCUCCCUGCUGAAGCUUUUUCAGGUCCUCCUCGAGCUUCUACUUCAUGCUGCUUGGAAAGUAUAUCCCAUACAGCAUCCCGCAAAACUCAUCCCACUUCAUUUGCAAUGCCAUCAACCCUCGAUCUCGCCUCAUCCUCCUCCACCAAGAGUGUGCAUCGCCGGCCAAGCAGUGAACUCCCAAGUGUACCUGCUCCCGCUCAGGAAUAAACAAAUCCUCAAACAGCUUCUCCAUCGCGCUCACCCAGUCUUCUACGACACAGGGCUCUGUGCAGCUGCCGUCAUAGGUCGGCGGAUCAAAAUGGCAGAAACAAGCCAGCCUUUCAAUCAACCGCUCCUGCUCAGCCUCAGUCAUCUGUGACGCCUCUCCAGAAGAUGCAAAUUGCACAGUAGGAACUGUCACUGGUGGGUGUACAGCUGCGGCUGGUGCGGCCACUAGAGUAGUCGGGGGUGGAGCUGCCUGUUCUGGUGCUCUCGGUACUGCGCUCUGUGGCGGAGCUAAUGUCUCGCACAUCCUCUGCAACAACGCCCCCUGCUGCCUCGUCACCUCCAUCAGAGAAGCUAAUUGCUCUCUCAGAUCCGGGGGUGCACUCGACUAUAGUCGUGCACUCAGCUCUGCCGGCUCAGGCAUCUCAGAAGGUGCGGCGCUAUCCCUAGUCGGCGGUAGACCUCGGCGUCAAUACAUAGCUGCAAGAAAAGGACAUAAGGGUCAGAUACAAAAUACAAACACUCUCGACCCAAUAAAGCGAAAGUCUAGAAGUCGGCUCCUAUUUCUCCUCAAAAUUAUGCCGUCUGCAGCGGACAUAAUUUUCUUGGAUGAAAUAGACACUCCUUCAGUCACUCAUUCCGCCCUAGGAUGAGUUAAAGCAAAUCAAUCGCUGACUUUCGCGAUAAAUCACGCCUCUCGCGUCUUGCCUUCCUAAGGUUUACCAAACUUAGGGUUCCUAGGUCCUAAUGGCCUAAUGCUAUGCUUUGAUACCAACUUAAUCUGUCACGCCACGGAUUACUCGUUUCCCCGGGCACGCCGACAAAUCCGCCGUAUACAAAGGACUUUCUCCAGUAUACGAAGCGAUAGCUGUACCUAUACCUGUAAUCAUACAAUAUUACAACCAGUAGUAUAGAGCUGCUAAGAAGAAAAGCAUAUAUAAACAACAUCGGUUCAACAUACAUAUAUAGUAUCCUGGUACAAAAAUCACUCGCUCUAGCGAGACUGUCAUGCCCCGGAUUACACGUUUCCCCAGGCUCGAUAACAGACCCGCCGUAUACAUAGGUAUUUUUUUUGUAUACGAAGUGAAAAGUAGAAGUAUCUAUAAUCAUACAAUACCACAAACAGUAGUAUGGAGCAGCUAGGAAAAUAAACCGUAUCAAUAAAUACCGAGGUUCAAUACAUACAUGUAAUCCAGAUAUACAAAAGCUCGCUCUGGCGAGAUGCAACAACUGUAUGUAAAGACCCAAAAACUACAACUACCUAUAGCUGGUGCUCCUCUAGCUCUGCGACUCUCUGGAAGGGCUCUAACUCGCGACGUCCUUGCCAUGAUCGAGAUCAGCAACAGCAGCAGCCGAAGGCAACGCUCUGCAAAAACAGCGGUAACAACUGGGCGUGAGAACUACUACAAAAGAAGUAGUCCUCAGUGGGUACCGCCCUCAAACUCAUCGGCCCACUCACUAAGUCUACAGAAGGGAGCAAGGAUAGCAGAAAAUACUGGAAGAAAAUCGACAGCUAUAAACCACUACACUAUCAUGCUCUACACUAACCAACUGUAGAAAAUGUCAAUACCGACCGAAUCUCACUAGGACUGCAAGCAUACCCGUCCCUGGGACUGUGAACACACCCGUUCCGCCCGGUUACGACUAUACAGCUACCUCCACGCUGACACCAGUGGAGAGCAAGUCCAACAUGCACGAACAACACCAACGCAAAAGCACAAAGCCCGACUCCGGAGUGGCACUCGCGGGCGCUACCCAACUGAGUAUGCAAGUGUAUCUCUGUCGAGCUUAAUCAAGCUCUCUCAAGCUAACAUCAAGUGAACAGGGUCUAACGAGUAACUCACGUGCCCUAGGCACAAUCUGAGACUAAAAAUAAUCUGGGUCCACCGUCAACCCCGACGGCACCCGACAAUCCGAAAUAGCCUAGACUCUGCUGUAAAAAAUAAGCUCGGCAUCUCAGCACGAGCGUAAAUGCAUUCUAAACUAUCUCGAGUACCCAUCGCGCUGAAACAGCGGUGAUACAAUCAAAAUACGGCUCCUAGAGCUAAAUUAGGUAGUAGAAGCAUAUGACGGAUCAAAACGCUGGUUUUCUCCUAAGUCAAGUUCCAAAUCCAACAUGUAUAAUUUAUCUAAUUACUAAAUAUGCUCCAAAUUCAGAUUUAUAUAUUUACAUACUCAUCGAUGAAUUUGAGCUACAGCAUGACAACAAUAGCCGCAUAUCAUACACGUCGACUAACAUGCACUUAGAAGCGAAACCAAUGAUACACCCACCCCAAAUGCUCUUUCCAGGCAGCAAGGAGGUCUCGGAACUGCUGUGAGACUCAGCUGAAAUCACACCAAAUCAGCAAUUGGAAUACUUGAAGGAUCUAGCGUAGAAAUCCACAAAAAUUCAAUAAUUCAGCACUUAAGCUUAAAUUAGUUCAAUUACAAUGCUAAUUUCACUAGAUUACCUUCAAAUCAGCAGUAGCAAGGUUCCCUCAGCAGUGAAAUAGCUGUAGAAAGUUUCUCUGGUUCAAGACUACUCUUCUCCCAAGAUCUGAACCUAAUAUAUCCAAGUUGCAUCAAUAACAAUGCUAAUUUCAGCACUUAAGCUUAAUUAACCCAACUCCAAUGUCAAAACUCACCUAAUUACAUCCAAAUCUGGUGAGGAGGGUCUCAAAUCUAGUGAAGUGCAUAGAAGUAUCAAGCUCAGGUCCAAAAUCCUACUGCCUUUACAGCUAACCUCAAUAAAAUCCAAGAAAUUCCAUUUUUAGCUCAAAACUGCAAGCAGCAAGGAAAAAUAGGAAAUCGACAAAGCUAACCUCAACCAAACUCGGCAAAUCUGCCAAAAACGUUGAAACACACUCGUGCUCUGGAUUCCUCUAGAAGUCUAGAAUCCAGCAAACCAAGUUUCGUCGUAAUCUGAUCUUCCUACGUCACACACGAGCCAAAACACCGAAGGUCGUCGCAGGAAAACUGCAGAAUCAGCACUCAAUCACAUUCAAACUGAUGAAUUGGAUGAAAUCCAAAGGAAAUCGAGGAGUGGAGAAGAAAUCAGAGGUGCUACUGAGAAGAGAGAGUGAAAAGAGCUCACCAAGGUCACUCUCCACCUAUUUAUAGGGUGCUGGAAUUGUAGAAUAAGCCCCAAGAACAGCUGCUGCAAUUUGGUGUCCCUACAGACUCGGGCAUUUCCGGGCGCCCGAACUCACAUUAUGGGCGCCCGAAUCCUCCAGGCUACACAAAGCUUCCUCUUCGGACUCUUCGCCCGCGGUGUGCUGUGCCCAUAUCUGGCUCUGGCGGACCUCACCAACCACCAGCCACGUGUCAGCACAAUCGAUACACACAAGGUGCACUUUCGGACUCACAUUCGAGCGCUCGAAACAUGGACCCGAAUUGGCUUCCAGUUCUCAUCAGUUCUGCACUCAACUUCUGGGCGACCCAAAUCCAGUUCUGGGCGUCCGAAUCUGGCAAAACUCCAGUUUUGCUUAUUUGAGUGCCCGAGUCCAUUUUUGCAUCCAUUUCGUGCAGAAUUGACUCCGACUCAAUCUGACACUCUCCAGAUGUGUUGACUAGUCAAUAAUAUUACAACCAAUCCUAUCCAAACCUCCGGAACACUACAGAGACACUAACAUCAGUAUGUAUAAGAACCAAAAACUACAACUACCUGUAGCUGGUAUAUCUCUAGGUCAGCAGCAAAACGGAAAGGAAUUUAGCUCGCGACUUCCUUUCCACGAUCUGUAUCUGCAACAGCAGCAGCCGAAGAAGAGGGCUCUACAAAAAGGAUCUACAACUGGGUGUGGGAACUACUGUAAAAAGAAGUAGUCCUCAGUGGGUACCGCUACCGACCUUAACGGCUCAUCCACUAAGUCUGCAGAGGUAAGCAAUGAUAGUAAAGAAAGCUGGAACAAAUCUACAGUUAUAUGCCACUAUACUAUCGUGAUCCAACACUAACUAUUUGUAGAAAAUGCAAAUUCUGACCCAAUCUCACUAGGGACUGUGAAUACACCCGUCCCGCCUGUCGAAGUUACAUUAACAACCACCACAUUAGGUAGUCAGUGGAGAGCCAGUCCAAUCAGGACACAAUGACACCAACAAAACAGCACUGAGCCCGACUCCGGAGUUGCACUCGUGGGCGCUACCCAACCGAGUAUGCAAGCGUAUCUCUGUCGAGCUCAAUCAGGCUCUCACAGGCUAUAGUCAAAGUAGAAGGGUAAAAUUGAUCUAACCACCAAAACUCACGUGCCCUCGGCACAAUCUGAAGCAAAAAAUACAAUCUGGGUCCACUGUCAACCUGAACGGCACCCGACAGUCCGGAACAUUCUAAACACAGCUGUAAAAAUAAGCUCGAUAUUCCAGCACGAGCGUAAAUUUAUUCUACACUAUCCUGGAUAUCUACCGUCCACAAACUGCGGCGAUACAACACAAACUAUGGCUCAUAGAGCUAAAUCUGGUAGUUUAAGAAAAUGACGGUGUAGAAUCGAUAGUUUUUUUCUAAGUCAAGUUCCAAGUCCAACAUGUAUAAUUUAUCUAAAUCACUACUGUAUGCUCCAAAUUCAGAUUUCAAUUAACAUGCAAAUCAACGAAUUCGAGCUAGAUAACAUGGUAUACAAAGACUAAAAAAUAUACAUGCUGACAUCGACUAGGCUUAGGAGGAAAUCCGUAGAAUCCAGUAAGCAUAUCAUUAACUCACCUCUAGCACGAGCUCGACGACAGCAAGCAACUGCUGAAAACCUUUGUUGAGACCAGCCUCCAACCAGCAAUAAAUCUCUCUAAGGAUCAAAGCACAAAAAUCCCAAAGUUUCCAUCAAUACUCUAGAUUUCAGCACUUAAGCUUAAAUUCAUUAAGAUUGCAAUGUCAAACUCACCUUCCAAUCUUCAAUUCAGUUGAGGAAAGGUGCUAAAACCAGUGGAGUAUGAUGGAGCAACCUUCUCUGGUUCGAAAUGCAACUUCUUCCAAGGAUUGAUCCAAGAAAACCAUAAAAAUACAAAUUUCAGCUCCAAUACAGCAGCAGUCUGCAAAAACAGUAAAUUGACAAUGCAAACCUCAAUCAAAUGCUGUCAAAUGAGCCCCACGAAAUCUCCAAGAAGUCUAGUAACCACCAAACCAAAUUUCACAGCAAACGGAGCUUCUUACGUCGCACACGAGCCAAAACACCGAAGGUCGCUGCUGGAAAUCUACAGAAACUGCAAUUCUCAAGGUGGAAUGGUGUAAUUUGGAGUAUUUGGAGGACUAGAGUGCAAAAUAUGAGCUUCUCUGUAAGGAAGGGUGAAAAAGCUUCUCAGGGGAUCGCACACAAGCUUUUAUAAGGAGGUGCAAUGGUCUGAUAAGCCCCAAGAACAAAAACACUAACCUGCUGUCCCUGCAGAACUCUACAUUUUCGGGCGCCCGAAAUUAACUUCUGGGCAUCCGAAACUUCUAGAUCAAUACAGCACUCCUUCGUUGGUUCCUUCGCCUGCGGUACGAUGUGCCCAAACAUGGUCCGGCGGACCUCACCUACCACCAUACACGGUCAGCAUAGUCGAUAAUCCCAAAGUGAACUUUCGGGCCCAUUUCUGGGGACCCAAAAACAGGAUCCGAAUUGGCUGCCAGUUUUAUUUCAGUUCACGUUCAGUUCUGGGCGACCCAAACCAUGUUCUGGGCUCCCGAAACUGGCAAACUUCAGUUUUGCUUAUUUGAGUGCGCCGAGUGCGUUUCCGCAUCCAUUUUGUGCAAAAACGACUCCAAUUCAGUCCGACACUCUCCAGAUGUAUCGACCAAUCGCUAAUACUGUAGCCAAUCCGAUACCAAACCCCCGGGACACUGCAUAUAAAUUAGAAAAUUUAAAAUUAGAAAUUUAUUAUUUGUAAACUAAAAUUUAUAAUUUGAUAUUCGAAAAUUAAAAUUUGAAUUUAUAAAAUUAGAAAAUUUAAAAUUAGAAAUUUAUUAUUUGUAAACUAAAAUUUAUAAUUUGAUAUUCGAAAAUUAAAAUUUGAAUUUAUAAAAUUAGAAAAUUUAAAAUUUAAAAUUUGACAUUUAAAUCUUAAAAUUAUAAAAUUUAAUUUUUGAUAUUUAAAAUUUAAAAUUCAAAUUUUAAAUUUGAAAUUAAAAGUUUGAAUAUAAAUUAAAUUAUAAAAUUUAAAAUCUAUGUUGAAAUUUAAAAUUUUAUGUUGAAAUUUUAAAGUUAGAACUUGAUGCAUCUUUGUCCAAGAAUGGUAAAAUUCUUUUUUUUUGUUAGAGUGGUUUAUAAUUUUACUUCAUUUUUUGAUAUAGUUUAACUAUAUACCAAAAAUUACUUUUUUUUUUCUUCCAAACGCUUCAUAGAAUAAUUUUUCUACCGAUGUAGCAUAGUUUUAAGGGUAUCCAAACAGAGCCUAAUUAUACAAGGAGAUGCUGGCCUGAGUGAAAGGCUAGGCAAACUUCGCCUGUCCUCUACCUGCCAAAUGAUCACAACUAGCUAUGAUACUUAUGCAGUGAGUACGUAGUACCCUAUAUUAGUUGGUCUUUAAUUAUUUUCAUGUUGUUCUUGUUAGCUCUUCUUCCAGGAACCGGUUUUGUGGAUUUCUCAGUGCUUAAGAUUUAUGGGUGCCAUCCACGGUCCUUGCCGACUUGACAAGCUGAACAAUGAAAACAACAAUCAACCAGAUCAGGAGGAAAAACAGAAGGCGUACGAGAGAGCAGCCCAAAACCUAACGAUUGCCUCGGUACUUAUCGCUACCGUGACAUUUGCCGCAGCUUUCACCAUGCCGGGAGGUUAUAAAGCUGACGACCACCCAAACGGAGGCACACCAACUCUAGCAGGAAAAUAUGCUUUCAACGCGUUCAUAAUCUCGGACUCCUUAGCAUUUGUUUGCUCCAUCAUGGUCACGUUCUUGCUUACGUAUGUUAGCUCAUUUAGGGCAGAUCCUUCUGUUCGCAUUAAACUCAUCAUCCGCUCCUCCAUUUUCCUAUCCGUGGCCAUAAACUAUAUGAUGGUCGCAUUCGCAAUGUCGGUGUAUGUUGUGCUGGCUCCAGUUAGUACUCCCGUUGCCAUUCUUGUCUUCAUAUUCUCUUUCGCUUUGAUCCCAUUGUCUGCAGGUCCACAAAUAGGACAGCUUUACGGUCUGUUAAGCGCACUAAGGUCCAGACAUGGAUGGUUCGAUCUGAGCUUUGUAAUUUGCUAUUUCAUCUUGGUGACGGUGGUAGAGAGUUUAGUAGUAUAUGGCAGCAUCUUUCUCUUAUCGCUUCUGGCAGGGAUUCAUCAAUCUCAUAAUUCGCAUUAGGUCUUUUUCUUCUCAGUUGUUUGUUGUACUUUUUAUUGGUAUUUGUUUUUGUACUUUUAUUUGAGUGUCCUUGUUUGUGUUUGCUUCAGGGUCCUGGUUAUAUGUUUGGGUCAAUUAUUAAAUAAGCUUGUUCGGAUUAAAAGCCAGCAGGGCUUUUAAAGAGUCUGUGUUAAAAAAUGUGCCUAGCUAGGGCACUCCUUAUUAUAUAUGAUGAGUGAAGUUAUAAGUUUUCUUGUUUAAAUCACAUUUUUCCAUGAAUUACGUACAAGCAGCCAGGUGCGACGUAAGUAUUUUCUAUUUAAUUCACUUCUUCAUCAACUCUUCAAUUGACAAUAAGAGCUUGUUUGGUUCAUAUAAUUUAGAUUCUGAAAUCGAAUGAGAUUCAGUAGUUUCGACAAUAUUGGGUGGUGUCAUUACAGGCGCUUGUAAGCCUACCAUCGGCUGCUCAUUCCGAAUUAAUAAUUAUCCUAUUCGCGCGAUAUUCUCCUUAGAGGCCGUGAUUGCGGCCAACACUGCAUCUAGCCGUGCAGUGCUAGUAUGGCAUAUAUAUAUACAUACAUAUGUAUAUAUAUAUAUGUACAUAUGAACCAAACAAGCUCAAUUGACAAUAAGAGCUUGUUUGGUUCAUAUAUAUAUAUAUAUACAUAAUAUAUUUNUAGAUCAUCCAGGAUGCUCACGGACGGAGAUAGAGGUGGCUAGGUAGUAGGUGUGAUGGAGGAGGUGGAGGAGCAGCCAGCUCCGGCGGCCGGCGGCGUGCUCAGGUGGCCGGGGCAUGCGCAAGAAAAGCUGGGGAACAAGAGGGAGGCGGCUGGGUUAAGGUUGAGGAAGAGAGAGACCUAGGGUUAGGGUUUCCAUGGAGAAACCCUAAGUGGUCACUUUUAUGCAAAUGGCCAAUUCGCACAAAAGUCCCCCGAAACUCAGUAUUUCGUACUAAGACCUUCACAUCGCGUGUAUUUUGCGCGUACACACCUUGUCGUCCAUUCUCACGCGAUUCGGUACAUAAAAUGUCGGGCUUUUCGCGAAAAUACUGUUUCUCCACUUGUGACCCUUCCUCGAUAAUCAUGCGAUAUCAGGAGAUCCGUUCGUCAGAUUUGCAGACGGAUCGCACCAGUGCGAUCAGCACGACAGAUACAUCAAAUUCAGGAUUUUGUUUUGUCCAAAUUGGUUGCCGAUUUGCGACAAAACCUACCCUCAAUACAUUCACCAUAAAACACACACACACACACACACACACAUAUAUAUAUAUAUAUAUAUAUAUAUAUAUAUAUAUAUAUAUAACCAAAGAAACCCCUUUAUCUCGAAAAUCGUGCAUCAGAUCUAAAAUCCGUCAGNNNNNNNNNNNNNNNNNNNNNNNNNNNNNNNNNNNNNNNNNNNNNNNNNNNNNNNNNNNNNNNNNNNNNNNNNNNNNNNNNNNNNNNNNNNNNNNNNNNNNNNNNNNNNNNNNNNNNNNNNNNNNNNNNNNNNNNNNNNNNNNNNNNNNNNNNNNNNNNNNNNNNNNNNNNNNNNNNNNNNNNNNNNNNNNNNNNNNNNNNNNNNNNNNNNNNNNNNNNNNNNNNNNNNNNNNNNNNNNNNNNNNNNNNNNNNNNNNNNNNNNNNNNNNNNNNNNNNNNNNNNNNNNAUAAUUUAUUCGAGUUUGGAUUCGGAUAAUAUUUCGGAUAUUCAAACCUAUUGACAUCCCUACUCCUUAUUCCACUUUUCAAUAUAUAAAAAAAAUACGUACUAAACACGGUGAACCAUUCACCGUGUUUGAACACGGUGAAUGGUUCACCGUGUUCAACUUAACACACGCGUCCCGUCCUACCCGCGUGGCGCUGACGUGACGUAUGCGUGGCAGGUCCAGAGCCAAUUUGCAAAUUUAAUUUUGACAGAGCUAUUUUUAAAAUAAAAAUUUGCCGGGGUCUAAAUGCAAAAAAAGCCCAAAAAAAAAAAACAGAAGAAAUGAAGGGGGAGGAUCGCCCACCCUCUUCUCCUUCGUUUCACCGCCAAAUCCCGGCAUCCCGCCGCGCCGUACGCGAAUCCCCGAGAUCGCGGGGGUACGACCUUUUCCCAAUCGGAUCCCGGCGAUCCUGUGAAGCCCGCCGAAUCCACCAGAGAUCUGCCCCGUACACAGAUCCCGCGAAUCCCGCGCCCCAAAUCUCACCAGCGCACCGUCUCGUUACUCCGCGCCGCUCGCUGAGCCGGAGAUCCCGCAAAUCCCGCUAUCCCGUACGCAGAUCCCGGAGAUCACGCGUCGGCCGCCGUCAGUCGCGUCAGCGAAUCUCGAGGGCCAUGCUGAAAAUCUCGCCAUUGUCGCCGCUCGCGAGCCCCGUCGACAUCACUGUACACAGAUCCCGCAGAUCUAGCCGCGGAUCACGUCGAGCCAUCUUAUCACCGUCGAUCACCGGUGGAGAUCUGGGGAUUUGGUUCCUCGGAGCCCCUAUAAAACGGCGUCGGGGAGAGACGAGCGAAGGGGGCCCAGGGCAUACAACCCAUCCACACAUACACAGGAAGAGAGAGAGAGAGAGAGAGAGAGAGAGAGAGAGAGAGAAGUAACAGAGUAGGAAGAAGGGGAAGAAGAAAGAGAAAGAUAAGGAUAAGGAGAAGGAGAAGUAAAAAAAAAAAGAAAAAGUAAUAAAUAAAAAAAAAAGAGAGAGAAGGGAAGGCUUGGCGUUGCACACCGCCCGUCCAACCCCGCCGCCGCCGCCGCCGCCGUCGACGACGAUGGCGCCAUCCAACAAAGCAGCACCCACCUGAGGUGGGUGCAAAGAUAGUAGUAGAGUACCAUUUUUCUUGAAUAUAUCCAAAUGUACCCUAAACUAGAAAUCCUAGUAAAUUCCAUAAUUAAUUUUCUGUUGAAUCAUAUUUGGGGUAAUUACUUGGUUAGUUUUGUUGCCUACACACAAUUAUAACUUUAUUCAGGAAAAUCAUCGUAACACCUUUUGUUAUCAGGAGUAUUUAUAUAUUUUGUUAAAAUAAUAAUAAUAAUAAGUUUUCCACCUUUGAGAAGUCAUGCAUAUGCCUAUAUUACUAUUUUGAUUAACCUUUCACAAGUUGCAUUAUGUUAAACUGUCUCAACUACCACCAAGUUUCUUUCCUAACUAGUAUAACAAAACUGUGAUUUUAUACAACUCUGAAUAGUUCUGAUACAAUUUUACUGAUAANAUAUAUAUAUAUAUAUAUAUAUAUAUAUAUAUAUAUAUAUAUAUAACCAAAGAAACCCCUUUAUCUCGAAAAUCGUGCAUCAGAUCUAAAAUCCGUCAGCGCCAUUGGUUCCAGAAUAGCUGAACUGGUCGAAACAAGCAAUUGGAUCGCUAUGAUCGGAGUCCGAUACGCACCAGAAGCCAACUCUACUCCGUGGCUUCUCCGAAAAAUCGGAGUUACUAUUCACUUAAGUGAAUACUAAUGAUCGCGUAACUUCUCCGUUCUAACUCGUUUUCUUCUGAAACUUGAAAAGUACUUAUGUAAUUAAAUUACACACAAAAACAUCGUCGACAGAGAGUUCAGCUACACUGUCAAAAUCUCAGUCCUUACAAGAUCGCUCGGUAGCAGGAGUUCUCCCACAUCAUUGACUGUGUCCCGGAUGUUGUUUGGGAUGACCGGGACCGGGCCGAUUGGUUCUUGCGAAGACUUUGACCGAGAAUUUAUAGGGUCGUGCAGAUUCUCAAGCUCACGACCUUUGUUGAGGUCUUUGAUAGAGCCUUGUGGGCAGAGCACGGCGAUGCCCACGUACGUGAGGAGCGCGAGUCCUCAGCCAAGUCAAGGGACAAGAGCAAGAAGCGGGCAACGGGCGGCCUCUCGGUAUCCUCAACAGCAGUCGAAGAACGGGAGGACUUCCCGAUGCGUGAUUUGCGGCGGCAAUCAUCGAUCGUCGGCUUGCCCGCAAGGCGAAGGAACGUGCUUCAAGUGCGGUCAAGCGGGACAUAUGAUUCGUGAGUGCCCGAGAUGGGCGUCAUUUGCACCGACGGCGGCAUUAGUUCCUUCUACCCGCAGACAGCUUGCGGGGUUACCACCGGCGAUGUCGGUUGGGCGCUCAUCUUCAUCGCGUCAGCCGAAGGCAUCUAGAGCACCGAGUAGGCAAAUUUUUGCCACUCAGGUGAAGGAGCUGAUUGCCGUCCCCGAUGACGUCGUGGCAGGUAUUAUCUUGAUCAAUGGCACUAGAGCUAAAGCUUUAUUCGACACGGGUGCAUCGCAUUCAUUCAUAGGUGCAUCAUUUGCGAAAACUCAUGACAUAGAGAUCAUGCAUAACGAGGACUAUUGGUCAGUGAGUACACUUGAGCAUUCGUUCCGUGUCCAUGAUGAGUACUUAGCUUGUUCGGUACAGAUAGGUGAUUGGAUCAUGCUGAUAGACCUAUUGGUGUUAAACCAGAUGUGGGGCUUCGAUGUAAUCUUGGGGAUCAAUUGGAUCUCCAAGUAUUAUGCCGUGAUAGAUUGUGAAAGCAGGGUGAUCACGUUCCGUGAGCCUAAUCAAGAAGAGUUAGUGUACCGGGCAUGUAAAAGCAAGCGCUUCGCGGCAACCGUAUCAGCGGCGAGAGUGAGAAAAAUGAUUAAGGGUGGAUGUGUAGCCUACCUGGCGGCAAUGGUAGAAGCCCAAAAGGAGCACCCGGAGCUUAGUGGUAUUUGGGUAGCGUGUGAGUUUUCGGAUGUAUUCCCGGGGUGGUGCCAAUUUCGAAGGCUCCAUAUAGAAUGGCACCGACGGAGCUAAAAGAGCUAAAGGCGCAGUUGCAAGACUUGCUCGAUAAAGGCUUUGUGAGGCCGAGCGUGUCACCGUGGGGAGCUCCAGUGCUAUUUGUGAGGAAAAAGGAUGGCUCAUUUCGAUUCUGCGUGGAUUACCGCGAGUUGAACAAGGUCACAGUUAAGAACAAGUACUCAUUGCCAAGGAUUGAUGAUUUAUUCGAUCAGUUGAAAGGGUUGAGGGUGUACUCGAAGAUAGAUCUUCAAUCGGGGUAUCAUCAGUUGAAGAUACGGCCCAAGGAUGUGCACAAAACGGCGUAUCGUACGCGGUAUGGCCAUUAUGAGUUCACGGUUAUGCCGUUUGGGCUUACUAAUAUCCCGGCAGCAUUCAUGGACUUGAUGAAUAGGGUCUUUCGACCGUUGCUAAAUCGGUGCGUCGUGGUGUUCAUUGACGACGUGUUGGUCUAUUCAUGGAGUGAGGAAGAACAUGAGGAGCACUUGAGGACCGUGUUGGAAAUACUACGCAAAGAGAAGCUUUAUGCAAAAUUAAAGAAGUGCGAAUUUUGGCUUUCGGAGGUUACCUUCCUAGGCCACGUGAUUUAGGGUGAAGGCAUCUUGGUGGAUCCGAUGAAAGUAGAGGCAAUUAAAGAUUGGCCUCACCUGACGGGUGUAGCGGAGGUCCGCAGUUUCCUUGGACUAGCGGACUACUACCGGCGGUUCAUGGAAGGGUUCGCCAAAUAAACCACUCUACUAACGCACCUCACACACAAGGGAGUGAAGUAUGUUUGGAGCGACGAUUGCGAUCGGAGCUUCGAGGAGUUAAAGAAAAGGUUGACAUCGACCCCGGUGCUUGCUCUACCGACGCCGUGGGAGACUUUUGUAGUAUACAGUUAUGCUUCAUAUAUCGGUCUCGGGUGUGUCUUGAUGUAAAAUGGCCGAAUUAUAGUUUAUGCUUCGUGCCAAUUGAAGAGAUAUGAAAAGAACUACCCGAUUCAUGAUCUAGAGUUAGUGGCGGUUAUUUUCGCGCUAAAGUUAUGGAGGCAUUACUUGUAUGAUGAACACUGUGAGAUCUACACGGAUCACAAAAGCCGUAAAUAUUUGUUCACCCAAAAAGAGUUGAACACAACAACGGCGGUGGUUAGAGUUAUUAAAAGAUUACGACGUUACUAUUCUAUACCACCCCGAGAAGGCAAUUGUCGGGGCCGAUGCACUUAGUAGAAAAUCGGGGGAAAACUUGGCUUCGGCAAUUAUACCCCAACCGUUGUUGCAAAAGGAGAUGUAAUGGCUCGGAUUAGUAGUAGUAGUGCCGGGAGUGCCGGAUACACUUGCCGUGUUGGUGGUACAAUCGAUCUUGUUGGAGAGGAUAAAAGAGUUGCAAGCUUCCGAUGAGUAUCUCCAAAAGGUGCGUGGAGAAGUUGAGAGCGGUAGUGUCGAUAAUUUUGGCGUUGGGACCGACGACACCCUUCGAUUCCGAAAUCGAUGGUGUGUUCCCAAGAACGAGGACAUUCGAAAGGCGAUUAUGCAAGAAGCGCAUCAAUUUUCUUAUAGUAUUCACCCGGGCGGCAUCAAGAUUUACCAAGAUUUAAAAGUGCACUAUUGGUGGCCGAGCAUGAAGAAAGACAUUGGAGAGUUCGUGGCACAAUGUCUUACGUGCCAACAAGUAAAAGCGGAGCGGCGGUUUCCGGCGAAAAAAUUGCAAAUCUUACCUAUACCCGUUUGGAAAUGAAAAAAUAUCGCUAUGGUCUUCGUGACCGGUUUCCCCCGAUCUCAAGGUGGACAUGACGCAAUUUGGGUGAUAGUAGACCGGUUGACGAAGUAGGUGCAUUUCCUACCGAUUCAUAUUACAUGGUCGGGGGACAAGUUGGCUCAAGUAUACAUGGACGAGGAUGUGAGACUUCAUGAGGUUCCGGUAUCAAUUGUAUCGGAUCGGGACCCGAGAUUCACAUCUCACUUUUGGAGGAGUCUACGGGAGGCAUUGUGUAACAUACCAGAUUUUGGUAUAAAGAUAAAAAUAAAUAAAAAUAGUGUGAGAAACUAUUUUUAUUGGAUUUGUAGAAGUAAAACAUAAGUCAGAAGUGACUUGUGCUGAAAUCGGAAUGAAAACAGAAGAUUUAGAAUUUUCUGUUGGAAACGGGACAGAUAAAUUAGCAGAAAAUACACAGUCUCAGAAAAUUAUGAAAAUUGGAGGAUAAGUCAGAAAUAUUUUUAUGAGGCUAGAUUUAAAGUUUCAUAUUUUUCUGACACCCGUAGAGUGAGAAAUAAAAUCCGACAGCUAUCUGAUAAAGAUUACAGUUCGGUACAGUUUUCGGUGACCAAAUGGGGUCGAAACUGAAAACUUAAAAUAUAUUCUUGCUCAGUACGUAAAACUGAAUAUGACUGUCAAGUUUGAGCUCAAACGGACAUUUAGGGAGCUCCGGCGAAAGUUAUCAGAUUUCAAGCUGCCUGGAGUGAAUAGUGUUUGAGGGGUAUUAUAUAGAAGCUGAUGCUUCUUCUCCCUCAACCGUGCGCCACACACACACCCGCACGCCACACACGCACACACGCUUGGAGAGGGAAAGAGAGAACCCACCCAUUUUCUCUCUAAAUCUCUCCCAAAAUUGAAGGUUUUGGUGGAGAAGCAAGCUUGGAAGUUGAUCUUCAUCUUCUUCGUCUUCUUCCUCUCCAUUAGAGCAAGCUUUGAAGGUAAGCUUCAAACCCUUUAAUGGCAUUUCUCUCUAGUUUGGUUUUUAAGCUCUAAGAAUGGAUUUAGAGGUAUUCUAGCAUGCUAAUUAGAGGUUUGAUGCUUGAAACCAAGGCUCUAAUGGUGGAUUUUUACCUAGUUGUAAUCUAGGGCUCAAAAAUGCUAGUUUUGUAAAUAUGAGGGUUUGAUCUCAUUUGACCCUCUGUAAACCUAAUUGCUAGGUAAACGAACGCGUUGGCGAAGUCGGUUCGGCGAUUCGUCGAGCCGUUGCGAAGUUAUUAAAGAAACGGACGUUUAGGCUUCGUUUCCGCCUGGAGGGCCGAGGCGACAUCGUAAACCCAUGAAAACGGAUUUGAAGCAUCGUGGCACAUAACCGAAGACCUUUAAUUUUCGGAUCGUGAAUUGGAGGCCGUUCGGGUGGUCGCGCGAGAGAUCGGGCCAAACCGGGUGCCGGGUGCCGCGGGAGGCCGAUUGCAAGUGUCGACAAGCAAUCGGAAUGCGAAAUGAGGUGGGUUGUGCUUACCGAAGCGAUUAGGUCGCCUGUAUGUCUAAGAGAAAUGAGAUUUCAUAUUGAUGCAUGUUGACAUAUAAUGUGAAAUGCUAAAGGAAUGCAUAUUGACAUAAUGUAAGAAUGUGAAAAGAAGUAUGUUAACAUAUUAUAGAAUGCUAGAUAAAUGCAUGUGAUUAAUGAUUUGAAUGCAUAAGAUAAAGGGCAUAUGAAUGUUAACAUUAUAAGAAUAUGCUUAAAGAAAUGCAUAAUGACAUGUUGUAGAGCAUGCAUGUGGAUAAUGCUAAGUAAUGGUAUGAUAAGCAUGAUUUAGAAAUAAUGAAUGCAAGUAUGUGGUUAAUGUUAAGAAAUGGAAAUGUGCAUAUGGAUAAUCUAUAUACAUUAGAUCGAGUGGCACUAAAUCUAGAGUCAUGGACAUAGGUUAAACAUGGAAGCUAUGAACCUAGUGUCUUGAACAUAGGUUGAACAAGUAUAGUGUGAACCUAGUGUCAUGAACCUAGUAAACACUUGUGGCAUUUGAGCAUAUAUAUUUUGUACCAUUCAUGUAUGAUAGGGCUAAAUACAUGUGAACCUUGGUUGCUUUCAAUGACAUGUUUCUAACGAAGUUGAACAUAGAGAAAGGUAGAACCAUAAUGAACAUGUAUGUUAGGACCCUAUUAUUGUGUGAAUGUGAGAGUUGGACUUGGACAUUAGUAAACAAAUGUGACAUGGACAAUAGAGACAUUGAUUGGCAUAGAGAACAUAGUUAUUAAACAUAGUUUAACCAAGAGUGGCAUUGAGACAAGAAUGACCUAGAGAGCGGCUUGAAUAAAUAGGUAGAAAACCUAUCAUGAUUGUGGCAUUUGUGGCAUUGUGGCUUAUGGCUAUACAUUCCCAAAUUGGGAAUCGGAUCAUACUCACAUUGAGUCUUGGCUUGAGGGAGGUCGCUCCUCCUCAAGCGGUGUGUUUCCAGAAAUCGACACCGCAGGGAGCGAGGUUGUAAUACACUGAACUUUUGCAAAUUGCGAAGUUCGAGUGUGUGGAAUGGUGUGUGGAUCACUCCUACAUGUUCUAAAAGGUUAGAACAAGUGUUUGGACAAGUUUGAGAGUGAUUGGAAUGCAAAAUAUAAGAAAAUGCAUUGACCUCCGAAAUUUCAGCAUUUUCUGCUUGCUGUACCGGUACAGCCAUUACCUUGUACCGGUACAAGCUGGCAGAUUCGUGAUAGCAGGGCCAAAUUGGUCAUUUCACAUCUUGUGCCUACCUAUUUGAUCCCAGCACGACUCUUGGAGCUUGCUGGAGUGUGCUAGAGCCCAGAGAAGCAACCUUGCAUCAUUUUCUCUCUCUCUCUCUAGGGUUUUUCUCUCUCUACAAAGAAUUCGCCGAUUUCGCUCNNNNNNNNNNNNNNNNNNNNNNNNNNNNNNNNNNNNNNNNNNNNNNNNNNNNNNNNNNNNNNNNNNNNNNNNNNNNNNNNNNNNNNNNNNNNNNNNNNNNCAUACAGUUAGAAUAUACAAUAGCUUAUCUUACCCCCCAAUUUGGGCAACGGUAGAAUCGACGUCCUUGGCUUGUUGGCUGCUUCGAUACCCAUAUUCUACAAGAUCUUCCGCAGUCGCACACAGGAAUUUGUGUGUCAGGAGUUGAUGCAGAUCUCUCACUUAGAUGGCUCUUAUGGCUAGAAGUGAGGCAAAUAAGAGAAAAAAAAAAGCUAGUAGAUGGAGAAGUAAGCUUGACUUAUUUUUGAGCCAUGGAUGUGCUUUUAUAAUGUUAGAAAAGAAGGUUACCGUUGAAAUGACCGUUGGAGGGUAAAUAGGAAACGAAUUUGAUAUUUUAAGGGCAAAUAAGAAAAGUAUUGGCUACAUGGAGGGCAUAAAAGAAAAGUAGGUUACGGUACGAGGGUAUAUUGGAAUGGGCAAAAUGGUAAUUUUGCAGGGAUAACGGCAACUGUUAGCACCUAACUGACGGAAUUUAACUGCAGGGGUAAAUUAGAAAGAACUUGGAACAUAAAAAAGGCAUUUUCAAUAUUAGCCUUCUGAUAGGGGUAAAUAAAAAAAUCAGAAACUUUUUAGGGGUAUAUAGGCAAUUGCCCCAAAAAUAAAUAUCUGAACUGAAAAAAUCAAAUUGAUGACGAAAUACAAAAUAAUCUUUAAUGCUUAGGGACUCAAUUGAAAUCUCCUCGAUGAAAGUUAUGAUCUCAAAUGUUGAAAUAACACUGGUAGUCCCUAACCUUCGCAUCAAUUUUUAUUUCAGUUCCCAACCUUUUUUUUGCAAUUAAGUCCUUAGUCUCUUAAUUUUAUUACAAUUACGUCUCAAACGUUAAAAAAAUGAUUAAAAUUAACGGAAUCGCCACAUUAACGUCUAUUUGGCAUUCUUUUGCAUGUCACUUUAGGUCCCUAAACUUUGCACAUUUUUCAUUUCAGUCCCUAAAAAUAAAAAUUUUAAAAUUUAAAUUUAAAUUCAAAAAUAAUAUUACAAUUAAAAUUUUAAAAUGACAACAAAUUAGAAUUUUUGAAUUUGAAUUUAAAGCUGAAUUAAAAUUUUGAAUUGAAAUUCAAAUUUUAAAUUUAAAUUUUUAAUUGAAUUUAAAAUUUGAAUUCAAACUUAAAAUUUUGAUUUUGAUUUUGAUAUUUCAAUUUACAUUUAAAAUGAAAGUUUUGAUACCGAAAUUUAAAUUUAAAAUUUGAAUUUAAAUUUAAAAUCAUAUUCAAAAUUUUGAUUUUAAAUUUUAAAUUUGAAUUCAAAAUUUAAAUUUGAAUUUAACAUUUGAUUUCAAUUAUAAAUUUGAAUUUAAACUUUGAAUUCAAAUUAACAUUUUGAAUUUGAAAUUUCAAAUCGAAGUUUGAAAUUAAAUUAGAAUUUACAAUUCCAAAUGUGAAUUUGAAUUUAAAAUUAAAUACAAAAUCGAAAUUUCAAUUCCAAUUUAAAUUUGAAUCCAAAAUCAAAAUUUAAAUUUAAAAUUUUAAAUCUUAAAUUAAAUUUUUUUUUGAAUUUAUAAAUUUAAUGGGUCAAUUACACCAUUGGUCCUCAACCUUUGUAUCGUUUUUCAAUUUGGUCCCAAACCUUUUUUUUUUUGCAAUCCGUUGACACGACACCUCCUAGGCGCUGAUAUGAUGCUGACGUGGUAGUUUACGUCAAUUUUAACAGCUAUCUAACUGCUGGGACUUAAUUGAAAUGGAAUCAAGAGAUUAGGGACUUGAUUGCCAUGAAAAAAAAGUUGGGGACCAAAUUAAUAAAUAGUGUAAACGUUAGGGACCAUUGGUGUAAUUAACCCGUUGAAAUAAAGAAUUUGGCGACCAAUCCGAAUAUUACUCAAAGUUUAGGGACCAUUAGCGUAGUUUACCCUAUUUUCUGGUGCUCUUUAAAGGGCGGCCAGAGCCCAAACCCUAGAGAAGGCCUAAACCUCCCCGCAGCUUUUCGCCACGCACCGGAGCGCUUCCUCUUCCCCUUUCUCUUUCUUGGUCGCCGCUCUCCGCUCUCCGCUCGCCGCCGCGUAAUUUUUCUUCCCCUCUAAUCCAGUUGGUGAUGGAGUUCUGGGGUAAGUCCUCUCCUUGUUUUCUUCUUCUUCUUCCUCUUUUUUCGCAUCUCCUGCUAUCACUCCUCCGGUGUUUCUUUUGUGUUAUUUGAUCUAUCACUCAAUGUCGCAAUAGUUUCUAUCAUACGUUUUUCUUCUCUAUUUGAUUCCCCGUUUCAUCUCCUCUUCCUCUUCCUCUUUCUCUUCCUCUUGUUGUUUUCUAUUAUUUUCUCUUUCUUCUUCAGGCGUUGAAGUUAAACCCGGAGAGACCGUCAAGUGCGACCCCGGAGACGACAAAUAUUUGCAUCUUUCGCAGGUCUUUGAUUUUUUUUUCUUUUUUAAUUUUUUACCGAGUUGUUUUUUUUUUUUUUUUUUUUUUUUUUUUUUUUUUUUUUUUUUUUUUUUUUUUUUUU
rnacentral:lncRNA from 1 species